rnacentral:lncRNA from 1 species
AAGAACGUGGGAGACACUAUAAGGAAACAGAAGUGUAUCACUGUUUUGAAUUAUAAAAUUCCUGGCUGGCAGGCAACUGUAGCACUACUUCCUGUUUUCUCACGAAAUUGCAUGCAUGAUUUAUAAUUAAAAUUUCAAACACUCACAACCAGUAAAUUAUGAAAAAUACCAGAGCUCGAAGUUAGAUAGGAUCUAAUCAGGUUUACAACGAAGUGUUAAAGUUAGUGUUGAGGUUAGGUGAUAUCUUAAAGCAGGAAAACGAUCAAAAAGAGGAUAGAGAGUUGAAAAUGAUAGGGAUUACAAACCAGGUCCAUAGUCCUCAUUCCGAACAUGGACUUGCAAUUUCAAGAGUUGCGCAUAUCUUUACCUAGCUCAUAGGUAUUCAAUUAUAAACUGUCAUAUGGUAACGAGAAGAAAUGCAUGACGAUGAGUGUAAAGCUUAGAUUGUGUCUAAGUUGCUGCUAUAGUUUUUUUUUUUUUUUUUGGUCAUUUACAUGACUUAAUUCAUUAACUAAUUUUUACAUUUUUUUUUUCAUGAAUGGAUGCAGCUCAUCAAGAGGCAUUAAAAAGGGAGAUAGAGAGAUUAAGACAAGUAUAUCACCAACAAAACAUCAAGAAAAUGGAAAAUGCAUCACCAUCACCAGCAAUUACUCCAUCUCAACCUGUCGCCACCACCGUCCCUGAUGCCAAACUUCCAAACGUAGAUCAAAACGAGCAAGUUCCAAAUGUCAUGGUUUAGGUUCAAACUCUUACAUUACUACACAUCAUUCAUUUCACCCAUAUGAAACUUGAAUAAAGGAUUGGGACAAAAAAAAAAAGGAAAAAGAAAAUGAAUGCAACUGAAUUCAUGGGGCGCAAAAGAAAGACAAAAAAAUAUUUUUUGUGGCAAAAGAAAGAAAGAAGAGGAAGAAAAUGAAGGGUUUGUGUAGAAAUAUACAUACAUAUAUAUAAUAAUUAAUAAUUAUUAUAUAUAUGUGUAUAUAUAUAAUGAUAAAAUGUGGUCAGCCAUGUGAUAUGCUUUGCCUUUUGUGAAGGGAAAGGGACCACUUUCAAAAGCCCUUCCAUGAUUGAGUUGCAGAGAAGAUACAUGUGCAGCUUUGUUGAGUUAAAAGAAGAGAGAGAGAUGAAGAGGAAGUGGGAGAAGGAGAGGAAGUGGGUAAUUUUUAAUUUUAAUUAAUUUUUUUUUUAAGAAAAAACUAAUUUAAUGUUAGUGUUUGAGAGAGGAGGGGUUUUGUGGUAAUUAUUGUUUAUUCAUGGGGUUUUUUUGGAAAAAGGAAGAGGAGUUGAGGGGGUUAUUAGAAAAUUAGGGUUUGUAUUGGGAUGUACAAAAAGAGAAGAGGAGUGAGUGUUUUGUUUUGGGUUUGUGUCAGGGAUGGGUAUUUGGUACUUCAAUGUCUGAUGUGAUGUACUUUUCCACUGCUUUUUUCUCUUCUUCUUAUCACAUUAUUUGUCCCAUUAUUUCUAAAUUAUAAAUACCAAAAAAAAAAAAAAUGAAAACAAAAACAAACAAAUUAAUUCUAUCUAAAUAUAUUCUAUUGGUUUCGACUGUCAAUUGCAUGUUUUUGUUGUUGCCAAUCUUUAUUUUAUUAUAGGUUAGCUAAAAUUCAAAACUUAAAACCACGUUAGGAGACGUAUGGACGUGGAGUGUAGUGAUAACACCGUGGGUUAUUCUAGUGUGUGUUUGAGUCGCACAUUAUUAUAGUUUGAGUUAUUAUAAUAUAUGUUUGGAGAAGUGAGGAAGAGUGAAACGAGCGAAAGAAAUAAUGACAAGAUAGGGUGAGGAAUAAUGAAAAGAGAGAAUAAGAAAUAGGAGAAAUAAAAAAAUAUAUAUAAUAGAUUAUGGUAAUCAUUGGGGCAAAUAUGAAUUGGGUUAAAAUAGACUAGUUCACUUCUUCAUAAUCUGAGGGUCAAACCGCUCCUUAAGAUAAUAAAGACCAUUUUAUUCCAAGAACGUUUUAGAUUCUCAUAUGGAAUAGAAUUAUGGAUUAUUGUGUUUGUUUUACUAUAAUAUAAGGCCUUGAUAUCUGAAGAUUCUCGGACAUCCUACGAUGCUCAAAUAAAAGGUACUCGAGACGUUUUGGAUAUCCUUAUUUAUAUAUACUACUAUUGUAUAAUGUGUAAAUGCAUGUGUGUGUUUUAAUUAUUUUUCUUUUAACUAUUGUUCUAAAGUUUCAUCAUCCAUCUCGUUUUGUUAGACUACAAAAAAGUUAAAUAUGGUGUUGAGCAAAUAUCAAAAUUUAUAAAAUUGAUUUGACAUUUAUGUUAGAAAAAAAACUAUAAUUUAAUUUCACAUAUUUGGUGAGAUUUGAAAUAUAAGUUGAUUGUAUAAAUAAUUUUAAUUACUUACUUUUUGAAACGGUUAAAAUAACUUUUCAUUUUUAAAAAGAUUUAUAAAUUCAAUUUUCAUUUUUGUUUAGUUCGUUCACAAAACUAAAUAUUAUACGGUAAGUGUCAAGUAGCAAAAAAAAAUGUUUUCUGAUGAGAAUAAAGAUUUGAACUUGAAAAUCUUCGAUACGUACAUACAUAUACAUAUACAUAUAUAUAUGUAUGUAUGUCAUUUAAGCUAAGUUUUUUAUGACUAAAUUAAAAUUAUAUUGUUCUUGUAUCGAAGAAAAUAUAUUUUCUCGAUCGCUUAAUAGUCUUUCCGUUAUUACUAUUAAAUGAAUUGAAUAUUUUAUAAAUAUUUCUCAAUCGCAAUCGUUGUUAACUCAAUUGAUCAAAUAUUUUUUAUAUUCAAUCUUUGAGUUCUUUAUCAUCAUUGAUAAAAUUUGAAGUUUUGUUAUAUUUUAUAAAUAUGUUGAUUGAUUUGCUAUAUUAAAAAAUGUCGAGGUAAAAAAAAUUAAAAAGAAAGAAGUAAAUUAUACACACAUAGUUCUAUUAAGCUAUUCAUAUAAAAAUAGUUUAUAAGGGAUACAAAAUGCUACCAUUAGACAUAUGUAUUUAGAAUAUAUAUAUAUAAAGAGAGAAUUUCUUUCCAAACUUGUGAGUUGUGAAAAAUAAAAUUUAUUGGGCUUUUGAAUGAGAGGCUUUUGUGUAGGGUGGUACCUCUCUAGCCCAAUGGUCAAUACCAUGGCUGAAGAGUACAUGGAUAAUUUAAAUCAAUAUUUCUUUUUCUAUUAGCUAGACGAGAAAAUCAAACGUUUGAUCUCAAAUUUAUAACACGAAUAGUAUAAUAGUAGAGUUAUGCUUACAUAUGUUGAAUUUUUUUCUUCGAAAAAGAAAUCAUUAAUGAUUUAUUGAUCACGUUCAUUUACUCAUAACUAACAUAACACGAUUACAUUUUUAAUUUAAAUGUGUGUAUAUUGCACAAUUAACUAUCCUCAUCUAUUCAUAUAACAUAGCUUUAGCUAUGUUAGUUUAUUUUGGUAUAUUAAAAAGUGGGUAUAAAAAUACAAACUAAUAAAUUCUUAAUUUCUAUCCUUUUGGUAGAACUAUUUAUGGAGUUGGUGAGGUGUCCACUAAUAAAAAUCUUUGGAAUUAUAUCAAUACAAAAUUUGCACACUCUCUUAACAACAAGAAGAAAAAAGUAGUUUUCAAUUCAAUCUCAUAUAUUUAAUAUAUAAAACUUGCUUUUUUCAUAUCCACAAAUUAGACUAAUUAAUAAACUUGGAUAGAUAUUAGAAAUUAUGCCAAUCGUUAAAAGUUUCCUAUUAAUUCAUCCACUAAUUAAUAUGAUGGAUAAAAUUAGGAGCUAUCAUGCUCCAUGUUUAUCUAGCCACUCUAUAUAUAUAUAUAUGAAAAGAUAUUUAUAUUUUCUUUUAAUUAAUUCGUUGAUGUAAUUUUGUUAGUACUAAUUAAUUAAUUCCAUGUAAACCAUGUAAUAAAUUACUGUUUCCAUCAACUUCUAAUUGUGCUUCAAACGAUGUCAAAAGUGUUUUUUUUUAAUAACAAUAUCGUUUUUAGUUUUUGAAAAAUUUUCUACCUUUGUUGCCAUUAUUUUUUAUUAUAAUUCUGAUUCUUGGUAAUCGAUUAUCACUGAAAAUAUGUUAUCCAAUUUCGCUUAAUUCAAAAUCGCUACAUGAGGUUUCUAUUUAACUAUUUUGUAGGCUUAGAGCAAUUCAUAGGUAGAAUUAGAUGUUGAUGUUAAUACAGAGCUUAAAUAGGCAAAAACAAAGUCAAGAUGAAUCAACUGAAAUCAAAGUGCAAAGAGAAGGCCAUAUUGGCCUUUGCCUUAGCUUGUACAGUUGCGGUGCUAUAAGGUAGCCGCAUCCUUAUUUGCAAAAAACACAUAGCAUUGUGGCACACCAAACGUGUCUCUCGUAUGCAUCAGACCGUCACCGUUGGGGACUUGUUCGUAGCCCUGCAACACAGUUACAUUUUUAUAAACAAUAUUUUAUGCCUCCUAGGUCAGAAGACACCAUAUGGUUUGAUGCAUUUGAACAUUCUCUCAUCAUGUGGAUGAGAGACUAAUUAAGGUGCUCUUUCUGACUUGGGUUAUUUAGGGAUUCUUUCCUAUUUGAUGUGAUUUUCAAACUAAGCUAUAUUGUAAUCACAUACACAAUUUUGAUUAUUAAUUGAACAAUUUAUCAUACGAAAGUUUGUUGGACUGUACGAAUUAUGCUUUAGAUUGAUGUAUGCUUGCAUUGUUUAGUUGUACGUGGAUCUUAAGAAGUAAUAGGGAUAUAAUAGCUAGCAACUUGACAUGAAUGAACAUUGUUCUAUUCACCUUAGAAUUAUAUAAAGUGAAGGUCUAAUUAAGUGAAUAAAAAUUAGAUAUUCAACCUAACUAGCCCUAGAACUUAGUGUGAUUAAUAUUAAAUUUGGUUUUGGCAUGUUUUUCAUUGAUACAAUUUAUAUUGGUUAAGCUAAUUAGGACAAGUUUAAUGGGUUUUCAACCAAAUUGGUCAAAUAUAACGAUUAAAAUUGGUUUAGUGAUAGAGAUGCAUGAUCAAAUAUUUUAAUAGGGUGGCUAAUUCUUUUAGACCUAAGCUAGACUGUUUUGAAUAUUAAAUUCGUUCCAAUUUACCUUCCUCGCACUUUACACUAAUUGCACCUGAAACCAAUAUCAACUCCCAUCGAUUAUCUCGACUUGAAAACUAUUUACUUGAGAAAUUAUUCCUUGUUUCCUAUGCUCGACCAGGACUUGCCACUAAGACUAGGUCAUAGUGAUUAGUGUGUUAUUCGGUAGUAAAUUAUUUGACUCGGAUUUUAAAAUUUGUUCCAUCAAUAAGUUACUUUUGAAUAAGUCAAACUCAUAAAAACUAUCCAUUUUUUAGCUUUUACCAUUUUGCUCAUCCAUGAAAACAUUCUUUCUUUUUUAUAAGAUUUGGAAUAAUUGAAUAUGUAACCUUAAAAUUGAUAGUACAAAUUUCAUGUCAAUCUAUCUAAGUUUGUUUUAGUCUGAAUGAAUAAUGUUUAACACGUGAAAUCAUGGAAAUUGAAAGGAUAGGUUAAAGUUCUAAAUAAGGGUAGAAAGCAGAUAGAUAAAGCAUAUCAAAAUAAUUUGUGUACCUAAUAACUAAGACCUAAAGUCUAAACUUUGAACUCUUGAAAUUUUAAUACAUAUAGUAAAAAGCAUAUGUACUAUAAAAAGUCGUGAUGAAAAGAUGUUUAUAUUCAUCAUAUAGUUAAUAAUAAUAAAAUAAAAUAAGAGUUAUAGAACGUGGUGUGUGUGUGUACCUGGAAAUGACUUAAAGCAUCCAAAUAUAUAAGAUGUUGUUUGGCUUUUGGCUUUGGAAGGUACAAUAAUAUCUAACCACAAAACUACAUAUAUAUGUGGAUGUGACACAAAAUCAAACCCCCUACUCACAUCUAAAUAUAUUUCUGUCCAAUCAUAUAUAUUAUAUAUAUGUAGAAAUGAUGUAAACUAUAUUGAUAAAAUCCUCCACUUUCACACCCAUAAAAGAAAAGAAAGAGUGACAAUGUUUGUCACAAAGUAACACAAACAAACAUUUAACCCUAUAAAUUAUAAUUUUGCUUUUACACUGGUGCUUAUAUUUUAUUUCAAUCUUAUAUUAAAAUGUCAAUGUCUAUGUAUACUUAUUUUUGUUAAGAGUGGAUAUUCUCAGUUGAUAUUACUUCAAAAAUACUCUCACACCUUAAGAAGUUUUUUUUUUAUAUAUAUUAAACAAAAACAAUAACCAAAAAACUUGGUUUUGUUGCUCCUAAAAUUUCUACAAAACUUUGAAUAAGUAGUUAAAAAGGAAGAUGAACAAGAAACACUAAACAGAAACUGAAAGACUUCCAUUAAAAAUUGAAAACAAAAACAAAAACAAAAGAAAAACAAUGGUAGUGUAUAGGAUCAAUCUUUCAUCCUUGCAUGUAAAACAAAGCAAGAAAAGCAAUCAACAAAUCCUAAUAAACUGUGGGAAAAAGAAAAGAAAAAAAAAAAGCCAUAGAUGUCUCUGCAAAAAACAGUAGCAUGCAUAUUUUUAAGUACAGAAAUAUUUUUUUGUUUCGAAGUGAAGAAAGGUUGAAUAGAUAACGGCAGAAAAGAAAUGAGAAGAAAAGAAAAAUAGGGCAUAGAGAAAAGGGGUCAGAGAGGGUCAUUUGGACUCUCUGUUUCCACUCAACUUUCAUCAGCUUUUUCUUUUCCUCAUCCCUUAACCCUUCUUCUUUUUUUUCCUUAGAAGAUUAUUUUAUGUUCUUUCCUCAAAUUAUUAUUAAUUAGACCCUAACCACAUUCCAUUCUUAAUUUAAUGAUUGAAUUUUAAUCUAUAUACUUUGUUAAUUUAUAAAUAAUGUUUCUAUACUUUUUGUCUGUAUAACAAAUUUUCUUAAAUUUUAAAAAAUGGUUUAAAAAAUACUCACCUAAUUUUAAAAAUUAUUAAAACAAAUACUCACCUAAUUUUUUCUUGAAUUAUUGAAAAGUUUCAUAAAUAUCGGUUGCUCUUACGGUAUUUACGAAGCUUUAAAUUUUUAUGCUAGAUCUACAAUUUUUUUUAUUAUAAAUUUAGUCUUUAAAUUAAUUUAGAGCCUAAAGGUAAACUUUUAAUUUAUAUGUAUUAGGUCUUAAAUUUUCAAUUUUAUUUUCACUAAAUUCUAAAUUCUUGUGGUUUCAAUUUUUAAUAAGUUAGUCAACAGCUAUUCAGCAUUUAGUGUCAUCUUUCAGUCUACUUAAUAAAAAAAAUAUUUUAAUUUUGUUUAUUCAAACUCUAUAGAAGGUUUCUCAAAUACCCUAAAAUUUUCUUACACGUUUUUCUUUUUUUAAAUUAAACACUUAAGAAUAUAUUUCAAACACACCAAUAUGGUUAUUAAAUUGAAACAAAUGGUGGAAACAUAGAGAGAUCAUCUUAUCGGACAACAUAAAAUAUUUACUUCCAGUACCCAAUUCGUUGAGUGGCUCUAACACACCAAUAUGAUUAUUAAAUGGAAACAAAGGGUUUAACACAGAUUCAACAAAAAAGGCUUUGCAAGACACACAACACAAUUUUGGGCAUGACUUCCUCAAAACUUUUGAAACGAUUUGGUCUUCUGCAAUUCCAAAAAAAUGCAAAUUCUUUCUUUAUAUCGUUUUCCAUAGGAAAAUAAAUACCAUGGAAGUAAUCCAAAAAAGUAUAUAUAUGUCCAUGUGUCUAAAUCCAAACAGAUGUGUCUUAUGCUUAGCAAGUAGUGAAGACGUUGAUCAUCUCCUCCUAGACUGCAAAAUUACAAAAGCAUUUGGAAAAAAAUGUUUGAUAUGAUAGGGGAUUUGGUAAAUAUCAGCAAUUUUGCUUUACUAGGCAAAAACGUUUCCAAACUGAAGCAAACAAGUAGAAGAAAUGUCAUUAAAUUCAGUGCGAUAGCCGACCUUCUAUGGACUGUUUGGAUAGAAAGAAACAAUAGAAUUUUCAUGGAAAAAUCAAACUCUAUUGUCAACUUGUAGAAAAAUAUUUGUAAUUUGAUCACAGUUUGGUCAAGGCGUUGUACCUCUUAUAAUCAGUAUGAUCCUCCACCAUUUCUCUUAACUUUAGAGCUUUGUUAGAUUAGAUUGUUUUAGGCUACCCUCUAGCCUACAACCUUGUAACCUAUCUCUACACUAAUAGAUAAUGGCUCCCAUUAUAGGUUUACCUAGUUGGAAGGGCCAAACUUAGGUUGGUUAUAUGUGAAUUCAUUUAAACUUUUUUUAACAUCUAAACUUUAAUUUUAUGGACAUAUUUGAUUAUGUACAUGUUUGGAUUAACUUUCUACGUAUUUAAAAAAGUAUUUAAGCAUAAAAAAAAAAGUGUAUAUAGACAUUUAGAAAGUCAACGAAAUGUACCCUACAUUUUAUUAAACUUAUACAAAAGAGUCGAAAAGAAAAGAAUUUAUUUUCUUUCUAAAAUAGCUUUCUUUUCUUUUAUCAAUAUUCUCACUUUUUUUUGUUAUAAAUAAAUAAAUAAUAAUAAUAAUAAGUUUCCUUUAGACUUGAGAGUGUAUUGCUUUUUAAUAAAUAGAAUAUAUAUAUAUACAGAAUCUUAUUAGGUUUAAGUUUAGAACAAUGAUAUUAUGUUCUCAAAAGGAAAAAAGAAAAAGAAUGUUACAACUGUGUACAUUUAAAAUGACAAUAACCUCAUAUAUCCUUAUUUUAUAUUCACAAAUAUAUAUAUAUAAAAGACUAUAGAUACUUGAAUAAUUUAAUAAAAAUAUGUAAUCAAAGAUAUAUUUAUUAAUUUAUUUUUCUUGUUCAGUGUUAAAAAUAUAUUGUAAACGUUGUUGAAUUCCUACAAAUAUUUCCACACUUUCAUGAGUCUAAAUUCAAAUCGAUGUAAAAGAUGAAUCAAUAUUGAAAAAGUAGAAUAAAUUAUAUAUUCAAAAAGUUAUAACCAAGACUAAAAGCAAGGUUGUUAACUAAAAGAACCACAAGAUUAGAGAAUUUAAUACAACUUUGAUAACCUAGUUCGGUGAAAAUCACUUACAUCUAAGAUAUUUAUCUUAGAUGAAGAGAUUAAUUUACUAAGAUUGAAAUGAAUACAGGUCGGUAAGAAUAUUAAAAUUAAUCAAAUAUAAAGUAUAAUUAAUAAUCAAUAUAGGUCUCUUCACACGAUGCUCCCCUAAAUUAAUUAGUACUCCUAGUAAGAUUUAUAUUGCUAGAUAUCAGACACUUUAUAUCAUUAGUAAUUGAAUCUUUAGAUCGACUAAUCUUCCUUAAUGUCUUGUGUCUUUAUUCACAUUCAUAUAUCAUUUUUUAAUUCGGUUUGAAGAGUUGAACACUACAUACAAAAUACUUCAAUUGAAGGUAAAAGACUUAGGUUGCAAUUGAAAUAAUAUCGAAAAAAUUAAAAACAAACAAAUUACAUUGUCAAAAAAAUAUAACAUAUACUUCUAUUGUAUCAUACAAAAAUACUUCAAAACAUAUAAAAUAGGCAACAACGUGUCACUAAGUAAUAUAUAUAUGUUAACUUAUUUAUAACAAAAAAACAUAAAAUGUUUGUUUACCAUUUUAAAUCUAAUUUUUUGUUUUUAUAAUUCUUCCUAAAAUAUUCAUAAAAAAUCAAUAAUUUAUCUAUUUUUUCAUACAAAUUUCUAUAAAAUUGAAACCUUCAUAUUUUUUAUAUUUAGAAAAAAUCUUUUUUAAUUAUUUAUAUUAAAUUUAAAAUCAAUAUUUUAUUGAUUGUGUGGGUUAGAUAUCCAAUUUAAACAAAAAAAAAUUUAAUUUCUUUUAAAUCGGUCAAAUUUAUCUCUUAUUUAAAAAAAUAAAAUAAAAAUAUUAAAACAUUUACAAAAUAUAUCAAAAUUCAUUCCACUCUUUAAUCCGUUAAAGUUUUUGCUAUAUUCUGUAAAUAGUUACAAUUUUCUUUUCUUUUUGCUAUUCACAUCAAUUUUUUUAAAAUUUUUAUUGGUGUAAUUUGAUUAGUCGAACAUUUCCAAAUAUAACAUGUUGAAUUAGAAUAUUUAUAAAAUAUAGUAAAACUCUAAACUUUUAUAGAUAAUAUAUAUUAACAUGCUUCAACUGGAAUGUUACCAAAGUAUAAUAAAAUCUAAAAAUUUUAUUAUAUUUUAUUAAUAUUUUAAGUUUUGUCCUUUACUUCAAUGAAUCUAUAUUAAUGUUUGUAAUUUCAAACUUCAAAUUUUUAAUCGGAAUAUCAUUAUUUUUUUAAUAUCAUGAUAUAAUCCUCCUAUAUUAAAAAAAAGAACACAAAUUUUCACCUACAAAAUCUUGUUUUAUUUAUCUACUUGAAAUUAAACUAUUUGAUUAUCCUUUUAGUUUUAUUAAUAUUUUGUAGUAAAAGAAAAAUAAGAAAGCUCAUGAAUAUUUAAUAAUCAAUUAAUUUACUUUAUAAGAAAAUUAAAUUCAAGAAGAGAAAAAAUAUCUUAUCAAUUAGUUGGAGUUGGAAUUGGACGGCAAAUAGGCAUAGUGCUCCAAAAAGAAAACAAAAAGGUUGUUAGAGAGAAAAAUAACAUGAGAAAUAAAUAGAGAGAGAAAAAAAGGUAAAUAGUUAAUAUUUGAAUUCCGUACAAAAAUUAAUUACAAUCAAAUUUUGUGUUUUGAUUUUGUUAUAUGAAACAUAAAUAAUUUGUUGAUUUUUCAAUUUUUGAAAAUUUCCUGAAAAACAUGAAAAAAGGAAAGAAAAUAAAAAAGAGAGUUUGCAAAAAAUUGUUUUCUGAUAAUUUAAUUUUUUUUGUUCAUAACUGGAAUAAUGUUAUUAAUAUUUCUAUUCAUAUAUUUGACUUAAUACAAUACAUUUUCUUUUUGCUAAAAUAAGUCUUCCUCUAUUACCAUAUUACUUCUACAAUCAACAAAUGUGUUCCCUACACUUCACAUAUAGUCAAAAGAAAAAGAAAAUUAAACCCUGAACCCAAAUCUUCAAUCCCUUAUUUAACUUUUCAUUUAGUUUAUGGAAUUGACACAUUUUCCAAGUUAAAUGAGAGAUUUCCAACCAAAAAUAAAAAAGAAAACUAAUUUUUUUAAAUUGUUUUUUUCAAUAAUUCAUAAUUAACUUUAAUAACACUAGUUUUGUAUUUAAAAGUAUACAAUUAAAUAUUAAAUUGAUUUUAUAUGAUUAAAGUUGUGUUUUGAUAUUUUAGAAUAAUUAUAAAUAUAGCAAAAAUGAUUCAUUUCAAAAUUACUCACAGAUAUAUUUUAAAUUGAAAAUUAAAACGCGUGCACGUUUGUAGACAUAAGAGUGAUAAAAGUUGGAUGAAUGUUUGAUUCUUCCACUAGAAAAAGUUCGGUCAUACUUAACCUAUCUACUUCAAUUUUCCAAGUUAUAGAUCGGUCACGUUUCAAAAAUAUAUAAUACAACAUUUUAUAUCCAAUUCAACAUUCAAAAAAAUUAUAGGUUUAAAACUUAUUUUAAAAAGUAUUAAUUUUAGUCUCUAACUAUUUUAUGACUAAGUAUCAUUUUUUUUUAUAAAAUUUGAAAGAGAUUUUAGUUCAAAAUUUUAGUUGUUCUAUCUUUUAAUUAGCAUGUUGGUUCUUGACAUUUUACUUCAUCUUCAUCUUCCUAAAUACAUCUAGAGCGUAAUCGUCAAAAAAAUACAAAGCUAACUCAUAUUUAUAUUAAAGAGCUAAUGUAAUUUUAAUAGGAGUGAAAAUAAAUUAAUCAAACUCUUUAGUACCAAGAACUUGAGUCCCAUCCAUAUAAUCACAAUACCUCUUUUUUUAAGUCAUUUUACCAAAUUAUUCAUGGUUUUCAGUCAAAUGAAACUAUCAUUUUGUCCCUUUAAAUAAUUUCAUAUUCUUCUAACUUUUGUCGAUUCUCUAAUAGGAUAGCCCUACUAUGAUUUGAACAUGGAAAAUCCUUCUUCAGGGCUAAUUAAAAAUUGUAUAGAUACUCUUUUGCUAUCCAGUAAGUCUUAGAACAAACACUUUUAAUGGAAUCACUUGUGCACAAACCAAUAAAGAGUACACAUAUCUUACAUUUUUCAAUAUCCUUGGGUAGUACUAAAUUUCAUCUCCUAUAGAACAAAAUGUUUUCAAACUUCUCCAUGGAAUAAUACCAUCUAUAAAUCUUAUCCAAACUCAUUAUAUAGGUACAUACAUAUGUACGUAGACUAUAUAUAUAUUAUCAACCCGAUGUGACUUUAUAUAAACGACUAAGAUUAUAAUAUUUUUAAUUUUUAUAAAGUGGAUAAUAUCAACCAUGUUGUCGAGAUAUGACAUCCAAUUCUAUUCAUUUACUAUAUACUACGUACUUAACCAUGUUCUUUUUUAUAUGUUUUGGUAAACCUUCGCCUUGAGUUGGUUAAAUAAUAACAAUGCAAUAUAUUCUAUGACCUAAAUUUUGGAUUUUGUGACAUAAAUUUCUAAUAACAAUGCAGUAUAUUCUCAUCAAUAAAUAUGUGUGGUUGUAUUUGAAAUUUUAUGCUUGUGUCUCAUGAUGAAUUAACCCAACUCAAGUAAGAUAUAGAAACAAUUAAUUUUCUCAUGGCUCAAACCUAACUUCUUUUGGUUUCCACAUAAACAACUUUAUGAAAAAUAAUAACAUGAAAAUAUAGAUGAAAGUAUCAAUAAAUAGUAAAUGUUAGAUUUAAUUUUGAUAUCAAAUAAAUAUGUAUAAAUAUUAUGUAAAUGGUAAAUAUCCAUAAGAAAAAACGAGACGUAUUUGAAUAUUUUAAAAUCACUUUUUAAAAACAAAAAAAUUAGAUAAAUAAGUUGUUUUUAAUUCUUUUCUUCUUAAUUGUUAAUAUAUUUAAAUCAUUAGCAAUAUAAUGAAAAUCUUGAUAUGUUCAUCUCUUACGUAUAUGGAAAUACCCUCUUGAAAAUAAAAUUUGUUUUACAUUGUGAUUAUUGAAUUCCUUUUAACUAAAAGAUAAAGCUACCUUUACAAAUUAAUCAAAAAAUGAAAGUUUUUUGACCAUCAAAUCAAAUUCUUUAAUGUGACAUAUUCUUCUCAUCUCUCAUUUACCCACAAAACCCUAAUCCUCAAAACAUUGAAUAAUCUCUCUCAACUUAACCAAUACAUUCCCAUCAUUUUUUUUACCUUUCUUUUUUUACUAUUUUCCCAAAGCAUACGUGUCAAUGGCUAGAAAUUUUGAUGGUAAUAUCAAACUUCGUCCCCCACACACGAAACAAAAAUGAAAAAGGGAAAAUAAAAACCCUAAUGAGCAGUGGAAAAAAAGAACCCUUUGAUGUCACUGCCGAAGAAAAAAAAAAGUACAUAAUUUUUUUUUUUUUAGUUUACAAGUGAAAGAAAUAAGUUUGAACAGAGCAGAAGAAAAAGAAAAUAAAACGGAUAUUUUGAGAAAGAAAAAAUAGGGUUAUUUAUUUUUUGGUCUCUCUGUCUCACUCACCUUUUAUCAGCUUUUUCUUUCCCUAUCUCUUGCCUUUUCUUUUUUAAUUUUCCUCCCACAAAUUAUUAUUGAUUAGACCCCCAAAUAAAAUCCUUUCUUUCCUAUUUACAUCACAUGUUGAUUAAUUUCACUAGCUAAUUAUGUCACCUAAGUGCCUCAGUUCCUUAGUGUAAUACUUAAAACCAUUAUUGACAACGUUUCAAAUUCACUGUUAUAGUAAAAAAAAAAUUGAAUGUCAAACAUAAGUGAAACUUGACAAUAGUGUAGUGAUGUGCUCAAAUUAAAUGGUGAUUAAUUUUAUUUUUGUUGUAGAACACUUGUACUCCAUUUCGUACCUCAUAUUUGUCCAAAAUUCUAAAAGAGUAAUAUUCAAAAAUACUUUUGCAACAUUUUUAUAUAGGUCUUUAGGUAAUAUUACAAUUUAAAAAUAUAUGAGUAUCUUUAUAUAUAUUUACACAAUGCCAAGUUAGUUUUUCAUAACUUAACAUUUUUGUUUGUUAAUCCAUGAACCUACUUGUACUAAAAGUUUAGGAAUGGAAUUAGGUUUUUCCUAAAAGACUAGCUACUAAAGAAAAAAAAAAAAACCACCAUAUCAUACGAGACAUUUUCUUUUAUUAUUUGGACUAACUCAUCAUAAGAAAACUAUUUUAAAUGAUAUUUUUUAAAAAAUAUUAUAUAUAUAACAAAAUAUCAUAAUCUAUUUAUGAUAAAUUAAUAUAUACUAUUAUAUAUGUCUAUUACGAUACUGAUAGAAGUUUAUCUUAAACUAACAUGGUUUAUCGUAAAUAGACGGUGAUAUUUUAUAAGUAUUUUAUUUAAUUUUGUUAUAUUUAAAAAUAUUUUUGUUAUUAAUUGUUUAUUCCUUAACAACUUUUAGCUGCAUGUAAAUUCACUCUUCCUAAGGUUAAAUCUUUUUUUUAUUAUUAUUGUUUUUUUAAUAUAACAAAAUAAACUAAAAUAUUUAUAAAAUAUAGCAUGAAUAUUGAUACAUUUUUGUUAUGUUUUAUAAAUAGUUUCAAUUUUUGUCUUUGCUAUUCAUGACAAUCUCAUUUUUUCCCAAAUACUUAACUUUAAGACUGAUUUAAUUUCGUUUUUCUUAAAGUGCAUAAAGAUUAGAUCGUUCUAAACAAAAGUAGUAGGAUCGAAACGUUACAAGAGUCAAACAAUACGAAUUUUUAACCUUUUUUUUUUUAUUAUCUUCGCUGAUCAAUAUUCUCAUACUUUUUCUUUUAAUCAAGUUUCCUUUAGACUUUAGAGGAUUGCUUUUUGCAAAUAGAAUAUAUGCAAAAUCUUAUUAGGUUUUGGUUUAGAUAGCAAAUAUUACAAUUGUGUGCUUUCAAAAUGGCCACAAUGUCUUAUUCUUAUCUUAUAUUCAUUUCAAGUACAGCUGAUAUUGGAAGUGCUUUAUAUAUGCAUAUUAUCUUUGAAUUGUAAUAAACACUCAACAAAAAAAAAAAACUUUCCUUGAUAAGUUGGUAGGUUAUCUUCAAACUUUAAUAACAUUUUAUUAAACCAUACAAAUUAAAUUUUAAACAUAACACAGACAAACGUUCUAAUUUUAAAUCAUAAAAACUAAAUUUAGGGUGCAAAUUAAUGUUAUUAAGGUGUCAUAAUAUGAAUAUAAUUUGAAAUGAGAGAAACAAACCACACGAGUAGCGGAACUAUCUAAAAAACAGAAAUGACGAUACAAAAUAUUUGUUUUUAGAAAAUGGCAUAAUAGAUUGGAGAUAAAAGAUUAAACCACAAAACUCUCACUUGUUAUAUGGUUUUAUAGUAAAUAUGAAAACUAACAUAUUCCUUUUUGGUAUAGUAAUUAAAUUCAUAAAUUUGAUUAUAGUUUAAAAAUAAUUGUAGUUACCUAACAACAUUGAAUAAAUGUUAAUAUAUGUAGGAACAUUUUUAGUUUAAAAAAUUGUAUAAUUAUUAUUUUGCAAGAGUAUAUAAUUUAUAGUACAAAUUAAAAUUUUAAUCAUAUAGUUUGAAGUAGUUAAAAAUUGAAUUCUCACAUUUCAUAACUCGAAUUUAACUGGACUAAAUUUUAGUUCUUAUAAUUCAUAGCUCUUAUAUAUUGUAUUAUAAAACCUACGUAAAUAAAAGAGACUAUUUAAAACGAUUUAACAAACCAUAAAAAUUGUAUCGGAAUCAAUGUAGACGAUACAAACUAAAUUAUAAAGUUUAAAACUAGGUGAAGUAAACUUUUAAUAUUUUUUCAAACCAUGAAGGUAAGACGAACCUAAUUUACUUUAUAAUAUAUACAUUACAUAAUACAUAUUUUAAUAUUUGUUUAAAAAAAGAAUUGCGUAUAUAACCUACCACAUUAUAUUUCAAAAUAUUUUUAUAUCUAUUUAAUAUAAUUUUGCAAAUAAGAAAAAUAUAAAGAUAUUGUUUUUAGAAAUUUCUAACUUUGGAUCAUAUAAUGUAAAAUCAAUUUUUAGAAACAAAAUUACAUUUGUUUGCUAAACAUGUAUCCAUUAAACUAAUAUGUAUGUGAAAACAUAAAACAGCCUCAAAUGAACCUUUGGGUAGACGUGAAUUGAUAAAUAAAUAUAUGUCAAAUGAUGUGAUUUAUUGCUUAUGUAACAAGUAUAAAAUAUUAAUGAAUUUAGUAAAUUAUAAGUAACUUUCACGAGCUUCAAUGAUGCUGAUAAAGUUUUAUUGGAAACUUGUUAACCAUGCACUGUUUCGUCUAAACUCUCUCUCACAUGAUAAAAUCUAACUUUAUUUCUUUCAAAACUUUCAUUUCAUAAGUCACAUUGUGACGUAAAUAAUAUAUAUUUUUCUGAAAUAUGGUGUGAAUUAUAUUUAUAGUUACUCUUUAACGAAUAUUAUAUCAUAUAUAAUAUAGUUUCUUAAAUUAGAAAUUUAAUGAAUGGUACUCAAAAGUGAACAUAUAAUUACAUUUUCUUAAUAAAUAAUGACCAAAAGAUAGGUAAUAAGCCAACAAAUCAUCCCUAAAGUUUUUGUAGAGUAACUCUAAAAGAGCCAAUAGUUUUAUAAUUAAAGCACCCCAAUACGGCCCCUAAGUGGCUAUUUGUAGAUUGUGAUUAAAUCUUUUAAGUAAAAUUGGGAUGAAAACUAUGUUUUAAUGGAUAAAACAAUAAUAUAUUUUUUUGUAACUAGCUAAAAUAUUAUUAGACGAUGAUGCUUUUUAUAUUUUUAAAAGAAAAAUUCAUAAAAAUACAUCUUAAAGAGAGCAAAGGAGCCGAGAGUUACUUUCAAAAUCCAACUUGAAAUGACUUUCGAAAAAGAAGAUAUACAAAAUGAAAACAAAAGUUUUAACAAACUUAUUAGCAUAUAUGCUACACAAUGAGGCGUGCUAUUUCACAUAGAGACAAAAUGAGAGAGAGAUAUAAUUAACCGAACCUACUCACCAAAUUCUAAAUCUAAAAAAGGGCUGCUCCAAUAAAAGUUUUAUAAGUUAUAAACCAUUGUUAUUUAAGACUUUCAUCACCCAAAAUCUACUAAACAAGUGUUAUUUAAGUUCAUUACCUCUCUUACAUCAUAUUCUAUCACUAGAUAAGAGGGAUUGGACGAAAAUCAAAAGGGAAAUUAAAGUUAAAUCAUCAAUGAUAGCUUGAGCUUCAAGCAUCUUGAUGGACCACUCACAUUGAAUCUUUCUAAACCCCAAUAUAUUCAAAGAUCCAAUAAAAUCACACACCUUCCAACUCACAACAUUACCCAAGAAGCAUCAACAAUAGAAGAUUAAUGAUAGUUGUAGAAUUGAAAUUGCUCAUAGCACUCACUAUUUAAAUUACGAAAUGACAUCCGAUUUUAACUAUUUAAUGAUAAAUAUUGUAAAGAAAAAUAUUUAGAAACAUCUCAUCACAUCGCCUAUUUUCUAGGUCUAAUCAAAGUUUGUAAUUGUGAUAAAUUUAGCUUUUAUGUUUUAAAAUAUUUUAAUAUAUUUUAUGUGUAUGGUGAUAAAUGAUUUUCGAUCCGUUUUAAAAGUACUUUUAAGUACCAAAAUAAAGUUUAAAAAAACAUACAUAAGAGAGAAAAUGGGAAUUAAAUAGGGAGAAAAGGUAGUGAAUGUGAAAGAAAUGGGUCUGAAAAGGAGUAGGCAGUGAAUAUAUAUGAUAAUGAAAACGUGUCGUCAGUGAUGGAUUGAAAAGAUGGGUUGAUAAAGAGAUAGAGACAACUUCCCAUCAAUCAUACUAAUUAAUGGUUCACAUUUCAUUACCAAUCAACUCUAAUUUCUUUCUUUCUUUACUUCCCCCCAAAAAAACAACAAACAUAUAAAAUCUUCAAAUAUUUUCUCAUCACUUGCAGUCUUAAACUUGUCUCGUUCACUCUUUUUAAUGUUAAUUUUAUCCAUAGUAUUUGAGUCUUAUGGCCUUCAGCUACAUUUAAUUUGUCUCUAUGAUCCAUCAUCAAAGUGACUCCUCACCUCCUUGAUAUAUACACACACAAAAGUCUAUCGAUUAAGUCUUGAAGGAGGCUAUGAAAUUCUACGUAUUUGUUCACUUAAAUAUAUAUAUAAAUCUAAAUGGUUUUACUUUCGCUUUCAUUCAACAUACGUCAUAUGCCAUUCAUAAAAAUGAAUAGUGUUGCCAUUAUAAAUUCUCUAUUAAUAUCUCCUUCCUCAACUAGUUAAUGCGGAGGGUUUUAAUCUUUAGGAGAAAAUAUCAAGUUUUAUCUUAACCUUGGUUAGAUGUAUAUAUUUUUACUCUAAUUUUUCUCAAAUAAGCAUUUUCGUUUGAAUAACUUUUUAUUAAGUAUCAUUUGUUUUUUUUUUGUUGACGGUGGAAAAUGAAUUGGCGACCGUACAUCUAUACUUUGAAAAUAAAUCAUAUGGGUGUUUUAUAAAAUGAAGAAAUCGAAUACUAAUGUUGUCAAGUCAUCAUUAACACUUCAAUGUUUAAGUUAAUGGCAGGUUGAAGUUAAUACAAAUGAGAAAGUGUUUUUAACAAUUUCCUUAACAAAUAAUUUUGAUUGCUCCUACAGAAAUAGUUAGUAUUGUAUAAUGGACACUUCGGCCACAACAUACACACUUUCUUUAAUUCAUGUAAGCCAUUCAAUCAUCAUUACGCUUUAAAUAGUUAUAAUGCCACUACCUGAAAAAAACAAAUGAAGUCAUGAUCAAUUUCUGCCCAACGAAAAUGUUGUUUUUUAUGUUUACAACGUAACUUAUUAAUAAAUAUAGUAAAGUAAAUCAAAAUGUUUAUAAAAUAUAUUAUACAAUAUAGUAAAAUAUAAUAUCACCUUCUCGUUAUAAAUAAUUGUAAUAGAUUUCUAUUUAUAUCAAGAUAGACCACGAUAAACACAGACAAAACUGUAAUAAUAGUCCAUUGUGAUCUAUCACAAAUAGAUUUUGAUAUUAUUAGAAGUUUAUUUAUUUAAAAUAGUAUUCCUUCGUUGUAUCCUAAUUUUAAAAUUUAAAUUUAAAAAACAUAGAUAAUAGAGAAAUAAAUACAUUAACAACCAAAAUAUGCAAAGUUAUAAACUCAAUUCAUUUUUAGAAAAUUAAAAUAUGUAUUAUGCAAUGUAUUUUAAAGAGAAGUUUUAAAUGACCAAACUGCUCAAAAUAAUGAUAAAUAUAACCAAAUUUAUUAGUCUAGCUAUAAAUGAUGAACAUAAUAGACAUCUAUCCGUUUAGUAUUAUUUGGUGGGUAACUCUAUCGUUUUUUAUGAGUAUUAAUUAAAUAUAAAAUCAAACCCCUUCUAAACAAUUAGUUAUAAACUAAAAUUCAGAUUCUAAAUCUAUUAAAGAAAAUAUACUUGAAAACAUAAAUGAAGUAGAAACUUGUUCUAGUCAAACUCUUUAUUUUCACAUUAAUUUAUGUUAGGGUUUUAAUUUAUAUAAUGAGAGUUGAAUCUCACUUCACCCAAAUGUCAUAUACUUAGUUUAAAGAGUUGAAUGUAUAAUUUAGAUUUAUAAAUACAUAUUUUGAAAAGUUAGUUUAGUAAUAUUUUUUGGGAAGAAACCAUAUAGUAAAUAUGUCAAAAUAAAUACGGGUGAAAGCAAAAAAUUUGAACCAUCAUACAAGACCAACAAAAUAGAAUUCUACGAGAGACUGAGUCAUGAAUCACACUCUUUAAUUUAAGACGUUUUACGGUUCUGCUAGGUGUGCACGCAGUUCACAAACAAAGUCAUGGUGUCCUUAGGAUAAAAAAGAAAACUUAUUUCUCGUUUAUCCACACCUAAUUGAUAUAGUCGAUUGAAACUUAUUUCUUAUUUACCCACACCUAAUUGAUAUAAGAAAACUUAUUUCACGGUGUAGUCGAUCGAAGCUACACUGAUAACCGGUAGAAAUACUCACAUUCUUCAAGAAUGUGGUUUGUGCUUGGAAAUCCAAAAAAAGAAAAAAAAAAAGUUUCUUCUUGCAAGAGCUAUUGUUUUUUGUUUGGAAUGAAAUGUAGGAUUUACAAGCCCUCAAUGCCAUGAGUGAACAAUAUAAUGUGUAAAAAUUGAUUGGGUAUAUUGAUUAAUUUAGAAAAUAAUUGAUAAUCAAUCAAUUAAUUAAAAUUUUAUUAUUUUAUUUCUCAGCUUAUCAUACCACACUCGUUCAACAAGACAAACGGCAGCUGCGGAGUGCGUGUAUAGGAAGAUCAUCAAAUCCCCAUUUGCCUAUCUUCACACCUCCAAUUCUCAUAUUAAUGAAAAUUCCGCUACUAUUCCUUUUAUUUCAACAUUUUUCUAAUAUAUUAUAUCAUAUCUAUGUAUAUCUAAUAGAGCCUACACUAGAUCCAUGAGUGUUUAGCACCCUCUUCACUCUUCAACACAAAAAAUGAGAGUUAUACAUAGAAGAGUUAGGGAACAAAGCUAAAAAUAUGAAAUUAAAAUAUAUACAGCAAACAAGUGACCAUAAACUCAUAUUGCAUAAACAUUAUAGUUACAAGAAAGACGAUAACAAAUGUAAUUUAGAAUAGUAUUAUUCGUAAAACUUUGAAUAAUGCAUGUUGCAUUGCUAUUAGUUCCAAUUACCACUACUGUCUUCGUUUUGUUUUAUCUUAACUAUUCAAUUCAAAUGUUUACUUUUAAUGAUUAGUAUUCUAAUUAGUUUAUAGUUAUGUAGUUAUUUUUAAUAAUAGAAUAAAGCAGUUUAAUAACUCUUUAAUAUUAUUCAUUAUCCUUAUUUUAAGCAAUAUGAAUUAUUUAUUAAUAAAACAGUAUUUGAAAUAAUAAUAAAUUUAAGGAUCAUUUUAGAAAAUAACAACCCUCCCAUUCCAUCUAAAUAAUUUCAUAAUUUCAUUUUUUUCUAUCCAUAAUAAUUCCCUUAAAUUUUACCAACAACUGUAAUAAAAAAAAUAAUGAACCAACAUAAAGGUUUGGAGAAGGGUACACCAAACCAUUUUAACUAAUUUGACAUUUCUACAACUUCCUCAAUGUAUAUAUAUACACAUACGUGCACAUAUCCAAAAUAUACCUUUUAUCUAGUUAGCUCAUGUUUAUAAACAAGAUUUACAAUCCAAACAGCUUCACAAAAUGACCAACAAUGCAAAAUUGACAAUCGGCUAAUGUCGUACCUUAGUAAGAACUGUUCAAAGAGAACUAAGUAAUAGUAACAAGAAACACAUGUUAAUUGCAUAGAUCAAACAUGAAGUAUGGUGAUUGUUACAACUUAAUACUUGUAUAAGUUUGAACAUUCAUUUUUUUACAAUGAAAAUUGUAAGAAUGCAGUUAUUGUUUGAGAAAAUCUCCCACUACUCUCGCAACAAUAAACAUUAAAAUAUGAAGUAUAAACUAAAGAAAACACAAAAAUUUACGUAAAAAUAAUUUUGAGGAAAACCACCAACCACAAAAAUUUUAGCAUGUGAAAGUUUAUUGCGAUCACAUACAAUAGCCACCUUUCCAUAUUCCACUUAGAACACACUUAAGCUAAAAUUGUUUAUGAUUUAUGAUUAUUAGAAACCAAAGACACGAGUUCUUUUAGGUGUGUGUUUCAACCUAUCACUCUGUCUUUAGUUUUUUAAGUGUGAGAUAAUUAUAUUUCUAAUAUUUUAGCAGCGACUACCACCAUAAUUGAAUAGUGAGUUUUGCAAUGGCUUCUUGCAUGUCUAGCCAAAUAAGUUUAAAAAAAUCAAAUUUAUAGCGAAGCAAAAACAUAAGCUUAAUCCACGUAAUGCACUUGAUACACUAAAUACACUUGAUGAACAUUUGACAAACUUGAUACACCUAAUAUACAUUUGAUACACUACUGAUACAUACUUAUAACUCGAUAUAAUACCGAUAUCUACUUUGAUACAUUUGAUAGUUGAUAUCCUUCUAAUGGACAACUCAUGCAACUGAUACGCACUUGAUAAACCAAAUAUAUAUUUAUUAUAAAAAUAUAAACCACAAAAAUACAUUAUUACCUAAAUUAAAAUAACGUACUAUUUACACCAAAAAAAACACAAACCAUUAUAAUUCAAUUAUAAUAACUUAUUGCUUUUUUCAUCCCUUAAAAAGUGUUUAUAUUUUUUCCCCCGAACUUCAUCACGAUCAACUUAUUUAUAAAAAUUUAAUACUGUUUUAUUUACACAAAUGUCAUUAGACAUAUUUACUUAACUUAGGGUCAUUGAUUUAAAACUUUUUAAUAUUCUGUUAUUUUCGAUAUUUGGUUAUUUUCAAUAUUUAUGCGUAUAAAUACAAUUGCUUGGAUUUAACUUGUUUUUUUUUAUCAUAUAUGAAGGGAAAAAUGUGAGAGAAACUUGUAAAUUACUAAUCUCAAAUGGUGAGUAAAAUUUUCCAUUUCUUUAACCUACCUAAGUAAAUGAAAAAAAAAAAUAAAAAGAAGAAAUAAUUAAAAGGUGAGAGAGUUGAAGAGUGUGUAAGGCAGAAGGGGUGUCUCCUCCAAUAGCACCAAAAAGACCUUUAUUCCCAUCAAUCCCACCACACACACACACUCUUCUGAUUAUCCAUUUUGAUCCCUUCAACCCCUCCAACUUCUUUCUUAUUACCACAUUAACCCAUCAACAAAAUUUUACACUUUCCCCCAACAAAAGAAAAAGAAAAAAAGAACUCCCCCAUUCUUCAUCUUCUUCUUUCUUCUUCAAAAAUCCCAGUCAGUCAGAGAAAACAACCCCAAAAACCAAAAACUCUCACUCUCUUGGUCCAAUGAACGAGGUUCCCUUCCAUUGGGAAGGUAAACCCCAAAAUCCAAAACAAAAAAGAAAAAAAACAAUAAUUUAUAGCCUUCUUUCUCUUUCCAUUUGACAUCAAAAAAAAAAAAAAAAAGUACAAAGAAGACUGUUUUUGUUAAGCUUAAAUAGCGGGAGAAAAGGAAGAAAGAUCAGAGAUGGAAGGAGGUGGAUCCAGUGGUAGCAGCUGUUCUUUCAUGGCUACUUGUAACAGCACGACCAACAACAACAAUUCUAAUAACACUUCCAUGAUGAUGAUGAUGAUCAAUAAAACUCAUAAUAAUCCUCAAACAUUUGACAACAAGAUGUUCUUGCCUUUGUCUUGGUCUUCUUCUACUUCCAACAACAACAACAAUAAUAAUGUUCAAACUCAAACUCCUCUUUCUGCCUUUCUUCCUCAACCUCAUACAAAUAAUAGUAACGAUCAUGUUGUUCCUCCUACUUCUACUUCCAAAGCUAAAAUUAUGGCUCAUCCUCUCUUCCCUCGCCUCCUUACUGCUUAUGUCAACUGUCAAAAGGUUCGUCAUUCUUAUCUUCAUCAAUCAGUUUAAGCUUUAAUUUUAAGUUUCAUUCAAAUACAAGUGUGAAAAUUUAAUGAUAAUUUUGGGUUGGUACGUUUUUCUUCUUCUUUUUGAUAACCCUAUUUUUUGAUAUCAGGCCUUCUUUUAAUUUCCUUAAAAAUACGAUACUCGUAUUUUAAGAUGACGAGUAAAGAAGGUUAAUUUAUAAGAGAGUUCUUGUUUUUUUUUUUCUAAUAUAUAUCUUCUAAUUAACCUAUCUGUUUCUAUUUCUUCUUGAUUAUUAUUUAUUACGGCUUCUUUUAAUUUUCCGAUCAAUAUGAAGAAUUUAGGAAGAUGAGUAAACAAAGUAAAUUUGUUGGCAAGUUUUUUUUUUUUUUAAAAAAAUUAUAUCUUCUAACCUAUUUGUUGCUAUUUCUUCUUGCUUAAUAUUUGUUAGGGAUAUUCUUUUAAUUUCCCAUGAUUUAAAAUCUAACAAAGAAAGUAAAUUUGUUGGUAAGGUUCUUUGUUUUUCCCUUCUAACCCAUUUGUUGUUAUUUCUUCUUGAUUAGCAUUUAUUAGGUCUUCUUUUAAUUUUUCAUAAUUUAAAAUCAGUAAUUUAUGUAUUAUCGUGACUGUUGUGUUUUUGUUAUGAACAUGAUUUCAUGUGAGUGUGUGUGAAAAUGCUGUUGGUUCAGGUGGGUGCGCCGCCUGAAGUCGUAGCGAGGCUGGAGCAAGCAUGCGCGGUGGCGACGGGAAGCUGUAGGGCGGCGGGGCAUGGGAAUGAUCCAGCGUUGGAUCAGUUCAUGGAGGCUUAUUGUGAGAUGUUGACUAAAUAUGAACAGGAGUUGACCAAACCUUUUAAAGAAGCAAUGCUUUUUUUCUCAAGAAUUGAGUCUCAGCUGAAAGCCGAAGCAGUUUCUUCUGAUGGUCACUCUCUUUCUCUCUAUUAUUAUUCUUAAAAUGUCAUUUUAUUUUCAUUUUUAUAAUGUUGCUAUAUUAUAUGAUACGAUAUAUUGUCAUUUUGCCUUCGUAUUAGGUUAUUAUGAUUGUUUAGCAUCUGCGCAAUACUAUAGCUAAUGGUUUUGCUCUGAUGUACUGUCCUUUUUAUUCAUAUUUGGAUCUUAAUUGCACAUCAAAUCCAACUUCAGAAAUCUCAGUACUGAUUAAAUAUUUGAGUCAAGAAAGAGACUGGAGACGAUUUUUGUACGUGUUUAAAUUAAAUUUGUCUAAUUGAAACCACUUAUCAUGAUUCAAAUUUAAUUUAAUGUUUAAUUUUAAGCUUUUAAGCGAAAACAUGAUUUAAAAUGAUUUUGAAAGUAGUAAAAUUGAUUUUUUAAUUCAACUCACUAAAACAUGAAUGAUAAGGUUUUUUUUCCUUCUUUUGCAACCUUUUAUAAUGCUGUGUCUUAGUUAAGUGCACAAUUUGUUUCGUGUUGAAGGUUGAGGAAAAGGCUUAUUGGAAAGCCAACCUUUUAUAUUAAUGCUUUUAUUUGUUUGUAUUAUGUGAUCAUUAGGGUAGUGUAGAAGACCUUUAGAUUUUCUCCCUACAUGUCUAUGUCUAUGUAUAAUCCAAGCCUGCUGGACAUUUGAUUUUGGUUCUCUUCACUUUAGAAAUUACAUUUGAAAGUGAUUUUGAAAUGGUUAGAUAGGUAGGAUCCAAAUCGCCUAGGUUUGUUUUGUGUCUCAAAAGAUAACUUUAGGUAUGUUUACGAGUUCUUUUGAAGUGGUUUAUAACACUUUUAUCGUAUUAGUAUGAAAAAAUUAUUUGAAGUUUAUUUAAAGUCAUUCAUAAACAUGCACUGCACAUUUAUGUUAGAUAUAUACCAUAGAAAAGUGUUUCUCUAAUCAUGUGUCUUGUGAUUUGGAGAGUUUUUUACCAAUAUAAAAGUGGGGAUUUUGAUCUCCCAUUUCAAGAGAAAUUACUGGAUCAAUCUAUGUUUUAUUCUCAUAAUGAACCUGUUAGCUUUUGAAAUAUUUUUGUAUUGGUUUUCAUUUUUCUUGUGGACAAAUAUUUGAAUUUGAUAUAUCAUAACAUAAUUUUUAGAAACAUAAAUAAAAGCUUGUUUUUGAAAACUUGGUUUGAAUUUUGAAAACCUACCUAAAAGAUAGAUAACAAAAAAAAAAAAAAAAAACUGUAGCAUUAAGGUGGAAUUGAUGUGGUUGCUAGCAGCUUAACUUUUAGGAUCCAAUAACUAAGGUGUAGUUUAAUAAUGAUUUUUUAAUUAAAAUUAGUCUUGCUUCCUCCCUAUUUUCUUAAGUAGUUUCUAAAGAAAUAUUUAUAUUCUAAGUCAAUCUCUUUAAACAAAACUUAAGGUCUUUGAAGCUACUUAUGGACAGAAGUAAUUGUUUGUCAGCAUGAACUCCUAAAACCAGAUAGUUGUUAAAUGAAACAGCUUUUGUCUAAUUUUAUAGGUUUGAAUAUCUUUUGUACUUUGUUUAUGCAAUUAUAUUAUAAUUGAAAAUAAUAAAUGUAUUUAUUAGGUAAUUACUGCAUUUAAUUUACAGAUUUGUUGUGGGAUGUUUUUGAAGAAUUUGAAACUAAUUGAUAAGAUGGAUUUUUCAUUUUGAUUUGUUUAGGAUGUUUAUGUUAUUGAUAUCUAUGAUGAAUUGAAACGAUAUUUCAUACUAUUAGAAAGACUAUAUUUAGAGAAAUCAUUUAUAAUGUGACUGUCAUUCAAACAUUAGCCAUGUAUUAUGGAGAAAAAAGAAAUUAGACAUGGAAUAUAUUUGAUAAACUUUUGACCUGUUUCUUGUUCGUUAUCUACUAAUUUCACCAUUGAAAGUUCAAAUCCUGACUCAUUAUAUGCUGUCUUUAGCUUGGUUUCAACCUUUAUAAAGGGAAAGCAAGAAUAUAAUUUCUCUUUUAAAUGAUUAUUCAUUUUGAAUUUGAAUUCACUCACUUGAAGAAAGUUUGAAAUUAUGAUGUGACCCUGUUUUUAUUUGGUUUAUUAAUAUUAUAUUUAGUAAUCAAAUUAAUUAAUUUUUUCUACAGCAUUAAUAGGAAGAAAACUAAUGAAGUACUUAGGAAAAUUUGAGUAAAGUGCUUUAUUCAGGUAAGCUAAUUUACUGAUUUUGUCAUGUUGAGACAUUAUUUGUAAAAACCUUAUUUCUGGAUGAGUAAACUUAACCUACCACUACUACUAUUAUUGUUGCUGCUACUUCUACUAUGUUGAACAAAUAAGAGUAGGUAGUGAGAAGAUUUAAACGAAAGCAUUCAUAAUUACUGAUGUAUGUUAAUUGAGCUAUGUUUGAUUUGAUUUUGAACUUCUUUAUCACUCCAUCAAGACCCAUUUGAAGAUACACUCUUCAGUCACUAGCCUCUUCUUCUAGGAUAUGCUAACAAAUAUUUCAAUUUCUUGCUAGCUUCUAGAAAAAGGGCUGUGGGGGAGAGAUGUCAAAGUUUGGUUUGUGAGGAUAAAGUCAAGUUACUUAAGAAUUUAAUCUUUCACCCAAGUGAGCUUAGUACAAAAGAUAAUUCGUAUGACUCUCUUCUUUAGAUGUCAAAGGUUUGAUCUCUCACUCAGGCAGUUUGAUGUACUAGAAAAAAACGUUGUUUGUAUCAAAAUUUAUUGGAGGGUUCUAAUUUUGAAUGUAUUUUAAUGAUAUUUCUUCUCCAAACCAUAAAUAUUUAGGUGUUGAAAGGGUUGUGCAUUGCUGUGUUUUGAAACAAUGGAUGUUUGUCUUAGGUUUCGAGUUGGUUGGGCAAAACGAGUGCUCGAAGGAGAUUGAGGUUGAUAUGAAUGAAAAUUACAUCGACCCUCAAGCUGAAGUGAAGGAACUCAAAGGCCAGCUUCUACGCAAAUACAGUGGAUAUCUUGGCAGCCUAAAACAAGAGUUUUUGAAGAAGAAGAAAAACGGAAAGUUACCCAAAGAAGCUCGACAACAAUUGCUCGACUGGUGGAGCCGACACUACAAAUGGCCAUAUCCCUCGGUAUAUAUCUCAUUCACGUAACGACUAUAUACAUAAUCGUGAAUCAUAGUAGGAACUCAUUAGAAACAAAAUUGAGAUGAGUUUAGUAUCAUUUAUGGUUGUAAAUUAACGGGGUAGGAAAAAUGUGAUCGGGUGCAGGAAUCGCAAAAGGUGGCGUUGGCAGAGUCGACGGGGCUAGACUUGAAGCAGAUCAAUAAUUGGUUUAUUAACCAAAGGAAGAGGCAUUGGAAGCCAACAGAAGAUAUGCAAUUUGUGGUGAUGGAUGCUGGUCAUCCACAUUACUAUUUGGACAAUGUCAUAUGCAAUCCUUUCUCUAUGGAUUGUUCUUCCUCUCAUUCUGACUCACAUAUGUAACCAUUUUAAUGUUGCUUUGUUUAUGUUAAAUGCUAUGUCCCAUUUUGUUUUAGAUUAAUUUUACAUUUUCAACUUAUGAAACACUCCUUUUCUUGUAUCUUCUUCUUAAUCCUUAGUUUACCCUUCCUUUAAUUUGUAUUAUUGUAUGUGUUUUUGGUACUGAUUCAACCAAUGACUGCUGCUUUAUUGCUUGCCUGAUCUUUUGCCAUUUUUAACCAUUGCUUGCUUUUUCAAGUUUUAUUUUGGUAGUAUAGUUGGAAAAUGAAAAGUGAUCUAGAAUUUAAUUUUGAGUCUCCACCUGCUAAAAUUUGCGUAAAUAGUUAUUACCAAAGAGGCUUCUGUUAGAUGGGAUCACUAUUUAUGAGAUCUUAUUAAGGAUUAAAUUCUAACUUUUAAAAAUAUAUUAGCUAAAUUCUUUUGUUUUUUUUGAACAAGAAGCUCAAAUGUGCCAAUCAACGUUUCGUUUAAUUGAAAAUGCUCACAUUUAGUCCAAAGACAUUGUUAAGAACUGCAUAAAACCUAAUAUCCAUAUAAUUAGAUCCCAAAAAUUUAGUGUAUACCAAACAAGUUUACAUUAAUAUAGAACUGUAUACUUGUUCUCUAUACAUUAUUUAACAAAAUAUAUCUUUUUAAAAAUAAAUUAAAGAGCUUAUGAUAAACAUCCAGAUCUAAUUUCUAUGAUUAUUAUGAAAUUUAAGGUCUAUUUUUUUUACAUUUUUUACAAUUAAAAUAUUGAAGCCAUAAUUACAACUACGACCCCUGCUUCAAUGACUAUUUUAUUUUCAUUUUUACAAGUUACCCUUAAUUUUAAAACAAACUAAAUUGUAUAAAAAUUAAAAAGAUUUCAAAUAUAGUAAAAUAAAAACAGAUAAUCACAAAAAAAUAUUGAAAAUUUUCGAACCUAAUACUUAUAGAUAUUAAUAGACUUGUCUAUCAUUUAGUGCAUAAUCUUAAAUUUUAGGAUAUUUUGUAAGUUAAUUUACAAUAGUUUUUUCAUUCACAGUGGUUCUCCAAGUCUUUCAAAAAAAAAAUAAGCGGUAAAAUUAUACAUAAUAUUAUAUUGUAUAAAACAAUUUCGAAAAUGAAAAAAUUCCAAAGAUCCACCAUAAAAAUUUUAAAAGUGCUUCUCCAUUCAUUUGCACUGGUACUAUAUUUGGAAAUCUAUUCAAUAAUUUUUUUUCAAAACUUUUUGGUAUACGAUUAUUUAUAUUUGACAGAUCUAUAAAAUUUUAUUGUUUAAAUUUAACUACCUAAAUCUAAACUAUUUUAUUAAAAAAGAUUCUUUGGUAUACUAUAGAUUUUGAGUAUCCAAUAUCGCAACGAUUUUAUUGAUCCUAUAUUUUUUGGAUGUCCGUUAAACAACCAAAUUACAAUUUGAAAUAUAUAUAUAUAUAUAUAUAUAUAUAUAUAAUAUUUGACACACCAUUUUCAAUCAACUAACAGUUUGAAAAAAAUAAAAAUAAAAAUGAUUGAAAAAGAAAAAAAGACUUGAAAAAAAAUUGGAGAGGAGAUGGAGAAAAAAGAUGAUGAUUAAAAGGAAGAACAAACCUGAAAUAUGUUUAAAAAAAAUGGUGAACUUAAUAGGUUUUUUAUUUUAUUACACGCACCGUAAAUAUUUUAUCGGUAUGUUAUAUUUAUAAAAAUUAACUUUAUAAAAAAUACCUAUAAACUUUGUGAUUUGUGUUCAAAAUGCUCUUAAACUUUCAAAAGUUUCAAAGUUGCCCUUAAACUUUCAAAAAUGGUUAAAAAAUGUAUUUACUAUCUAGUUUUAGAUAGAACUCUUUAAAGUUUUGUUUAAAAAAUACUCUUACACUAUUUAAAAAAUUUUAUAAAUAUCUUUAAAUUUAAAUUAAAAAAAAAACAAAAUUACUCUUACUAAUAUAAUUUUUACACCAAUUUCCUUAGCAACCCAAAAUAAAACUAAAACUUAAAGUUGAAAUCGUAGUUUUAAAUUUUCGUCAAUAUGUCAAUAUUUAUAUCAGUAUUUUCACAUUUCUAUGGAUUCGAUAUCGAUAGAAAUAGUGAAACAAUAUUUUUGUUACAUCUUAAAAAAUUUCAUGAAUCAUAAGAAAUAAACAUAAAAAGACACUAAUAUAAAUAAUACACCGACAAGUUUAGAAAUUUGAAAAUAUUAAAUAUAAUUUGAAUUUAUUUUUUUAUAAAUUUUUCAAAAAUAUUCGUCGAAAUCAAAAUUUAUGUACAAUUAAGACUUUGAUAUAUAGAAGAACAUCGAUAUUUUAAACCUUGAUUAAAACAUAAAAUUUCACAUAAUCUCACAUUGGUAGUUUUAUUAGACUAUAUAUGUGUUAAUAGUUAAAUAUAUUUUUUAUUUGACAAAUGGUUCAAGAAUAUUUUUUUAAAAAUGUUUUAUUGGUUUCGGAUCAACAUCUUUUAAAAGUUUAAGAAAUUAUUUUACUUUCAAAAGUUUAUAGGUAUUUUUUUACGUGAGUUCUUUUCUAAAAAAAUAAAAAAACUAAAUAUAUAUGCUAAAUUAAUUUGUAUCUAUAAAAUUACAUAAAAUAAUGCAAUUUUCAGCCCUUAUUGAAAAUAUUAAUUAAUUUGUGAAUUUUGUCUAUAGUUGUUUUCUUUUCUUUUGUCAUGAGCCCUAAAUAAUUUGUUUUUGCAUUUAUUACGCUUUAAAAAAAAACCCUUCAAUAUGAUAAGUUAAAAUCAAGGAAAAUUACAAAAAUAAAAUAUUUGAUAAAAUAUCUGUUGUUCAACUUAAUAAAACUUUUCUUUCUGUUUUAUUUUGUAAAGGGUAAAUAGCUCCAAAAUACUCCAUAAAUCAAUUAAAUUAAUUUAACAUAAGUGUACAAUUUUUAAAAAUAAUUACUACCAAUAGUUCUAUCAAAUCUAGAGUUGCUCAAUUAUAUUUUUAAUAUAUAUAUAUAUAUAUAUAUAUAUUCCUUGCUAUCCAUGAUGAAAAUUCUCCUAAUUUGGUCUUGAAUUUGUAUUUAUUUAUUUAUGAGCUUUGGUGUGUAUUUUAGUUUUCACCAAAUGAUUCAGGUUGUGUACCCACAUUGCCUUCAUUCUAAUUUUUUUUCAAAGUAGGGUAGACCAAAACAAAUUUAUUAAUUUAACUUUUAUGAUUCGCAGAGUAGAUUAUGUCGAAAGAAAUCUUAACCAAUGUUUAAAUUUAUAUAAAUUUGUUAAUUUAAAGGUGAUCUAAAUUUUGUUCCGUAAAAAGUCCAGACCGAGUUUGUAAUUAAACAUGAAAACACUCAAGUGAUUGAUGAAAUAUUCUAAGUUGAACUAUAGGUGUAUUUGUCAUGUGAAUAUUUAAUCUAAUGUUAAAGUUUGAUUUGUAUGAUUUAUAAUAAUUAGAAUCUAAUUAUUAUUGUUGAAAGAGAUGUUAUUGAAUUAAAGUUUACUUUUAAAAGCUUAUGAUAGCAAAUUUGAAACAAAACCCGUUUUUGUUGAAAUGUGAAAUCGAUUUUGAAAAUUGGUGUUUAGUUUCGGGGUGUUUUCCAAUUAGUGAUCUCCAAAAGUAUGCCAAGGUUGAUUUCUAUACUUUCUUUCCUUUUCUCCUACUUGCUUACCCCAACUGCAUCUUCUUUUUUUUCUUGAAAGGGACACCAAAAAAAUGGGGAAAAAGAAUUAGACUUUAGUUGCGAGUUUUUUUAUAGCUUUUAAAAUAAUAAGAUGUAAUUGUAUUUUCUUUUAGAAAAUUAUUUAAAAUAGCAAAACUCAUAAAAAAAAUGUUUACAAAUAUAACAAAAUUUCAAAAUAUAUCAAUGAUAUAUAUCAAUAGACACUAAUAAACUAAUAAACUUCUAUCGUUAUAUUCUCAAACAUUAAAAUGUUUGCUUUGAAACUUUGGAAACCAAAUAACAUCAACUCAUAAGGGUGUAUUGUACUCUAAAUUAAAAUUCUAAAACUUUAUUAGGUGUAAAAAUCACUUAUUAUUUUUGUUAAUAUAUUCCUAAUCCUUUUAAGUAAAAUUAGUGGAUAAAUAUAUAUAAGUAGUGAGACUACGCCAAUUGCAUAACAAAAAUGUAUAAAACCAUAGGUAUAUGUGAAUGUAUUUUUAAAUUUUGUAACGUGGGUAUAUUACAAAAAUUACCUAUAAAAUAUAGUGGUAGUUGUAUUACACACUUAAACUUUCAUUUAAAAUUAACUCAAGUAUAAUUAAUAAUACACUUGAAUGAUUUCGUGUCUAUGAGUAGAUGUUUCAACAAAGAAUUUUUUAUUGUAAUAGUUGACUAUCUAUAUAUCCAAGUUAACAUUUACAUUAUGUUUUUUUUUUUACUCGAAGAUAAUUAUUAUUUAAUGCAUUUUUAUGGAGUUUAAAAAAAAUCAACCUCUAAUUUUACGCUAAUAAUAUAUUAAAAAAAUAGAAUUUUUGAUAUUUCUGCAUUUCACCAUUAUAAAAUGGGUUUUUUUUUUAAAAUUUUUUUUGACAAACUAUUUAAAGUUUACAUUUCAUAAAAAUAAACUACUAAAAGAUAAAAAAUUUACACAUAAUUUAAAUAAAUUAUAAAUAUUUAGUCAAAUUUUCUAUUUUUAACAAUUUUCCUUAUAAAAUAAAUUUUCUACUUCACUAUACAAUAAUAAGUUUGUUUUACUAUAUCAUAUUAUAGUUGUCUUUAAUUUUAAACAUCGCAUGGUUCAGUAAAAUAAAACUAAAAAAUGUUAUAAAUUAAAAUAGAAAAACUUAUUUAUAUUAAUAUUUAGAUAAAUUAUUUUAAAUAAAAAAUUGCUAUAAAUGUGUAUACCAAAAUGAAAAAGAAAAAUCAAAAUGGAAUUUUAUAUUGGUAUUUUGUAAUAUUUGUAAGCAUCAGUUAGACCAUUUUGCUAUCUAUGAAAAGAAAAAAAUUGUCAAAAAUAGAACAUUUUACAAAGGACUUUUGUUUCAUAAAAAAUCAUGUGUAAUCAAUUUUGUCUUUUAGUAGUUUUAUUACACGCAGUGUAAAUAAUUUGUCAAUUUUUUUAACUCCUAAAAAAGCUAUCUUCUUUAUUUAUAUACAAUAAUUUAUGUGAAAUUAUCAAAAAUAGCAAAUUUGAUAAACUAUUUACAACAUAUAACAAAAUUUUCUUAUUUUAUCAAUAAUAAACAUUGAUAGUCAUUAAUAUGCAUCUAUCAGUAACAUUAAUAGCUAGUGAUAGAAGUCUAUCAAUGACUAUCAUUGAUAGAAUCCAAAAUUUUACUAUAACUGAUAAAUAUUUUAAUUUAUUUUGCUAUUUUUUUUAAAAAAUGUCCUAUAAUUCAUUAGUUUACAAAUAAAAUGUUUAAAUAAGUAAUAAUCUUUUAUUGCUAAAAUUACGAAAAGAAAGUGUACGAUAUAAUAGGACAAAUAAUUAUAUAUAUAAAAAAAGCGAUGUUUUAAAGUUUAAGACAAAUGAAUUGAAUGAGAAAUAAUAUUUCAAAUCAAAUUUUGACAACAUAUAAUUAUUAAAACCUAUUGAAUUAUAGUUAUUAGUUUUGCAACGAGAUUUAUGUGUAUCUUAUAAUGUUAACGCUUUAUAAUAUUUUUUUAUAUUUUAAUGAAUUCUAUAUGUUUUUUUUUAUGUUUUAUAUCAUUAAAUUAGAUUCAAACUAAAUAAAUAAAUACAACAAAUAACACAAGAAACAAGACAUGAUUAUCAAACCAAAUUUUUGUUUCUAUUUUUUUUAAGAAACAGAAAAUUGUAAUAAUUAUCCAACGUAGUCUUGUCAAACAAGAGGUGAGAAACAGAAAAUGAAAACAUUAUCUUACAAACCCUAAAUUUCAACAUGAAAGAAAUUAAUAGAUAUCAAUUAUCGUUGAGUUAAACUAACUAAACUUUAGACUUAUGGACUAAGUAAUGCUUCCAACUUUUAAAAGAUGUAUAUAUAAACUUGUUGGAACACCUCGAAGGAAUAACUCGUUGAGAAGAUGUAACGUCUAAACUAAAUGCCUAAACAACUCGCGUGCUGAUUUGCCUGAUAUAUUGGUAUCUCGUUUGAACAAGAUGCCUUCUUUAGUCAUUUUGCCUACCGGUCAAGUUGUCUGGUCAAAACGCCUACUGAAAAACAUAAAUAAGUUAAGAAAAAAAUGUUGAGCCUGAUCAGAUUUCACUUUCUUUAAAACGUUUCUCGAUUUUGCUCAUUUGUGCAAACAUAUUUAUAUAGUCUCGCCGUCCCUAGGGUAAAAUCGAUGUGUUCUUUAAUCAUGAUUGCACUAAAACUGAUUGGAAUACCAACACUCAAAUAGACACUUUUGAUUGCUUGAAAAACUCAUAGAAAGAUAGUUUGAAAUAAUUUUUUCUCUUGUUUUUCUCAUCUCUCAAAAUGAAGAAGAAAAAGUGUUUAUAUAGCCGCUGAAUAGGAAAUUUUAAGACCAAUCACAAAUUGUCACAUUAUUUACUAAAUUAAUGAUGAAAAGUGCAAAUAAUUGAAUUUGGAACCAAUUAAAAAACCGAUAUGUAUCCCAAAUUAAAAUUAAAAACAAAAAUUGGCCAAUUCUGAUAAUACCACAUGUUUUUAUCAUAACUAUUGGAUUAAGUUAAUUAUUUUGGUUCAAUUAAAUAUUAUCUAUUUGAGUUAAGUUCAAUUGAGCCAAAAAAAUAAGCUUAUUGAGCCUAAAUGCUAAAUAUGACCAAAAUCCAUGUGAUUGAGUUCAUGGGUCUGGUCCAUGGAACAAUUAGGCUUAAGCCCAUAAAACCCACCCAAAGAACUCUAUAAAUAGAGGAGUUAUCCUCAUUUGUAAGGGUUGAAAUUUUUUUAGUCUAGAAGGUCUAGAGAGAAUUCUCCCAAGAGCUUCCUCAAGUCGACCAUCCUCGAAUGUUGAAGCUUCUUUGAAGAUAUAAGCGUUCUUUCAAGACUCUAACUUCAAGGAGAACAUGUGCUCUGCUUCCCCAAAUCAAUCCUAGGCGUUCAACAAACUUCAAGAACAUCACGUCCUCCGUUUCCUCUAAAUCAAGCAUAAACAUCUAAUCGAGAGAGAAUCAAAAGAUCAAAUUCUAGAGAUCGAAUCACAUCGCAUCAAAUCAAUAAAAAUACAACAUUAACACUAGUUCAGCUUCACGUAUCAAAUUUUUUGGAAAUCUCAUGUGAACAAUAGCAGAGGAGACUCAAAAAGACGUUGGUAAUUAAAUAGGAAAGUUUAACUAUGUAAAUGUUUGUAAUUAACAGAGGAUAACGUUGGAAAUUAAAUACAAAAUGGAAUUAAACUGUUUGACUCUUUUAUAACGUUAAACGGUCAUAAAGAUUUUGUAUUAAAAAGACAACGAUUAUAUCAGUAUUGCAUCUCAUGUUGCCUAGGAUGACGGUAUGUAUGUGGAGAUCUUAGUAAAUCACUUAACUAUCUCGCCUAGGAUGGCCAUAGUUUGCAUGUGGAGAUAAGCAAAUCUAAUAUUCUAGUCAUCUCGCUACAGAUGAGAACAUGCAACUUAUAUGCUUACCUUCUAUCUUUUUCAAACUUAGACUUGGAUGAGUAUUUUGUAAUAAUGACGUUUUAAAAAAUAUUCACCAACCAGACUUAUCUUAACAAUAUUUAAUAUUAGCCUAAUUGACAUCAACAUGCACGUAGCAAUGAUGACAUGAAUACUUUUAUUGUACAUUGUCCUAAAAUAAAUCUUUCUCCACUACUUAAUAAAUUCUUUUCUAUGAAACAUCUUUUCUUUUCACACUGCAUUAUUUUGUUGUGUGGAAUAUUACACCAAAUAUAUUCAUAGAGAAAAGUUGUGUGGAAUAUUAAAUUGGCUUUUUCUAUAAAAUAAUUGACUUGAGACUCCCAUUUUACACAUUCCCUAUUCUUUUAAGUAAAAUAAUGUGGUAGUUAGUGGUCAAGUGAUGAUUAAAAAAAUACCAAUAAUCACAAUAUAAAAAGAAAUUGAUUUAACUUAUAAUACUAAUGUGAUUCUUUAACUUCUACACUUCAAUCUUCAUUGGUGGGUUUGUUUUCUUUGAGGUCAUUCAAGUGAUGUUUUCACUAAAUUUUAGUGGUCAAAUUAUACUUUUUUUUUCUUCAUAAUCGUAUAAAUCUUUAUUUUAUUCAAUUAUUAAUGAUUUAUAGAUUCAGUUUUAAGCAUCAUUAUCUUUGUUAAUCCAAAGAUGUUAUGUAGACAAUAAUUACACCAUUUUGGUAUAUUUGAUAAUAACCUAAACUUUUUAAAGUAUUUUCAAUUUUAAUUCUUAUACUUGUAAUAAAUAUAAAAUUAGUUCUCCUAACAAGUUUGUGGUGGUUAAUUUAAAAAAGAAAAAAGAAAAACUGCUUGUUAUCUAUAAAUAUUUUUACUGUAAACUCUUUUAUUUACCAUGAAAAUGAUUGUUUUGAGGGAUUGAAAUCAAGCAGAAUAUAAACUAAUUUAUAGAGAUUUGCAAUUCAAAAUUUGUAUAAAAGAAAAAAUGGAUUAAACAAAUAGACACAAUAAUAGUAGUGGUCAAAGAAAGGAGAGUAAUUAAAACCGUGGAGACCUAGACCGAGUAAGCAAGUUUGAAAAGCCCUUUUAGAAGAAAUAAAUAAUAGUAAAAGUUUAGACUUUCCCCAAGCCGUGUGGACUUACGUAUUCUUCUUCCCCAUUUCCUAAUUCCUAACUGAAAUAUAAAAUUCAAAAUAAAAACUACUCCCCUAUAAAUUCACUACAUUUCUACUCAAAUUCCCACAUCUUCUCUUCUCAAUUCCCGAUUCCCAAUUCCAAAACCCCAAAUCCGCCAUGGCAACAAAACUCCAAACCUUCUUCAUUGCCGCUUUGUUUCUCUUAUCUUUUUCCCUUUCCUCUUCAGCGCAAACUUGCAGAAACUACAAUGGUUUCGCCAACAAUGAAGUCUUUGCAGCUUGUGUAGAUCAUCCAGUUCUCAACUCUUUCCUCCAUUGGACUUACAAUCCUUCAAACUCCACUCUCAAAAUCGCCUUUAGACGCCCUUCCACCGCUCCCGAUCAAUGGAUUGCUUGGGCCAUUAACCAGCAAGACCUCGCCAUGUUCGGUUCUCAAGCUCUCAUCGCUUACCGAAAUUCCUCUGGUCUUCCCCAUGUUUACACUUCAAGUAUUGAACGACCUUUUCCAACUAUGCAACAGAGCAGUUUGAGCUUUGAAGUUCCUCAACUUUCCGCCACUUAUACCAACGAGGAAAUGACCAUUUUCGCAACUAUUAAUCUUCCCACUGGUUUAACCACCAUCAAUCAGGUGUGGCAAGAAGGUCCCAUGAGUCAAGGCUCUCCAGCUUCCCAUAACAUUGUCGGGGACAAUCGACUGUCACUUGGUACUCUGAAUUUGCUUACUGGAUCUAGCACAGUGGCAGUGGAUUCUGUUCUUAAGAGAAGAAACGUAAGUCUCACGUCUUUUUUUUUUCUUCUUUUAAUCGGGGUUUGUUUUAUUUUCUCCAUUUGUGAAACCCUUUGGAGGAUUUGGUCUAAUUUGUGGGUUCUAAUUUUCAGAUUCAUGGAGUUUUGAAUGCGGUGAGUUGGGGGACUUUAAUGCCAAUGGGAGCCAUUUUCGCUCGAUAUUUGAAGGUCUUUAAGGCUGCAGAUCCUGCUUGGUUUUACCUUCAUGUCGCCUGCCAGACCUCCGCCUACGCUGUCGGUGUCGCCGGCUGGGCUACCGGUAUCAAACUCGGCGGCGAGUCGGCUGCAGUUCAAUACACUACUCAUCGCAACAUUGGGAUUGCUCUGUUUGCCCUAGGAACUCUUCAGGUAAUUUAAAUUAAACCAUACAAAAGAAUCCCUUUGAAAUCUAUUUGAGUCGUUAUCACAACUUAAUGGUUUUGGAUUUGUUUUUUUUUUGCUUUAAAACAGGUUUUUGCUUUGCUUUUGAGGCCAAACAAGGAUCACAAGUACAGAAUUUAUUGGAAUAUUUACCAUCACUCCAUAGGAUACAGUGUGAUCAUUAUGAGUAUCAUCAAUGUGUUCGAAGGUUUAAAAAUCUUGAGUCCUGAAAAUAAAUGGAGAAGAGCUUACACUGGAGUCAUCAUCUUCUUGGGGGCUGUGGCCUUUGUUCUCGAACUUAUUACAUGGUUCAUUGUGAUCAAGAGAAGGAGAUCCAAUUCCAAUAAGUUCCCACAUAACAUUAAUUCUAAUGCCAAAGUAGAAAACAGAGUCUAGUCCCUUUCUUUCUUGUCCAUCUCAACAAGUUCCAUUAGUUCUUCUUAAGAGGUUUUGGGUUUUGUUUGAUUUUCAUGUAAGAUUUCUUAGUGUUUGUUUGUUUGUAUUUUCUUUUAUAUACUUAUUUUUGUAAAGAUAAAGAGCUGUCUCUUUUUUCUCAUUCAUGAUUAUAUUGUGGAAUUUUUUUUCCAUUGUAUCAAUAAACAAAUGAUCUUUACUUAUAAGAGUUAUUUUGGUCUCAACCUUCCACAAAAGUCUACAUUGGAUUCAAAGUUUUGGUAUAAUUAUGGAUACUCAACCAAUUUUAUCCAACUUGGUUAAAAUCUUUGUGGUUAGAGGUUGGAUUUAAAAAAAAUGUAUAAAUAUUAUUCUUAAAUAUUUUGAAUAUGUACGAUAAAAAGUCCAACUAUUUAACCUCGAUUAUAUAGUAAAAUUUAAUUUGGAUUUUGCACGAAAAAUACUUUUUUUUAAAGUUUAGUGAUUUCUCUACCAAAAACUUACCCAACAUAUAAAACGGAUAUUUUUGUCAACUCGAUUAUAACCUAGUAGAUAGAGUUAUCGAUUAACAUCUUAGAAAUCAAUAGUACAAUCAUGUACCAUGAAUUGAUGAACUAUACAAAUAAACACUUAUCAAAUCUAGAGGUUAACGUUGAUCCUUUCUUAAAUAUUAAACAUAAAUGUGAUUAUAAAUUUUUAUCUUCGAGUAUGUAACACUUUGGGUCUCUUAAUUUAGUUUAUAUUUGACUCAAGAGUGACGUUUUAGAUAUUUGGAAAAUAGUGCUAAAUGAACCAAACCUUAACAAUCCUACCGGACUAGGACAAAUAGUUAAUAGAAGAGAAAAAAAUUGAUUUAACUUUUGAAGACUUUUCGGGAUGAAGAUUAUAUUAAUACUAUUGAACCAAAGUUUACUUAAUUGCUAAUAAAUAGUUAUUAUACUGGGAACAUAAGCCUAACUUAAUUUAGUGUAAAUAUGCAGUAUUGACUAUAUAUUUUAUAGACUAUAAAUGUUUAAAUUUUAAUAUUUUUAAAAAGAAAAAUAAAUGUUAGCUUUUAUCUUUCUUUAAUUUUGUCAUUUUAAAGAAAACUAAAAAAAUAUAAAAAAUAGUAUAAUAGCAAGAAAAAUUAUAGUAAAUGACAAAACGGCAAAAAACCAGUAAAAAAUAUUUACAAAAUAUAACAAUAUUUCAUAUUCUAUGAAUGAUAAAUAUUAACAAACAUUGAUAGAUUUCUAUUAAUGUCUAUCAACACUUAUAAAAAUUUGUCUGUGAUUAUCAUUUAUAGAAUAUGAAAUUUUGUUAUAUCUUGUAAAUAUUUUGACUGUUAUAUUUGAAAACACUCCCUUAACAUUGUUAAGAAGGUUAAUUAAUUAAUAAUAAUUCUAGUAGGGAGCAAUUUUAGAAUAAUAAUUAAGUUUUAGCAACAAUUUUUUUUAAAAAUUACAAAUAUAGCAAAGUCUAUCAAUGAUAGAGUUCUAUCGUUGAUACGACUCUAUAGACCAAUAUUUUUAAUAUAGUCUAUGUUCUAUCAAUUAUGACUUUAACAUAUUUUUGUUAUAUUUGUAUUUUUUUAAAUGUUGUUAUAUAUGUUAAUAUUUUGAAUAUAAUUAUUAUAUUUACAAUUAUUUGAUUAACGAAGGAUAGAGUGACAUUUGAAAGUAAUUGCAAAUUUAGCUUAAAAAAAUUUCAAUCUUUCCUUCAUUUUUUUAAUUUCUCAUUGAACCUUUACAAUUAUAUAUGUAUUCUUGCUAUUGGUCUUCUUUCUUCUCAUUUUUUUCCCAUCUCUUUCACCCUCCUCCCUUUGAUCUCUAUCACCCUCGUCCGUUUGAGGCUUCUAACCCUGAAAUUCUCCAAUUAAUUCAUCGUUAAAUUCUGGAAUGACAUAAUAUAAGGCUAUCAGUGAUAGAAGUUGAUCAAUGAUAUACUUCUAUUAUCAAUAAAAAAAAUUAUAAGUAAUUGAAGUUUAUCAUUAAUAAACUUCUAUCUAAGGAUAAAAACAUCAGCGAUAAGAUAGAAGAUAAAUAAAAAAAACGUGAGUAGCUCUAACAUAUUUUUAAUGAUAAUAGAAGUUUACCAAUGAUAAAAUUUAUCACUGAUACACUUUUAUUAGUGAUAGAAUCAUUAGUGGAUAAACUUUUUGCCAAUUAGAGAAACUAAAAGAAAAGAAUCGAAUCAAGCAAAUAUGUUUUCACUAAUACAAGUUUAUUGGUUAUAAAAGCCUAUCACGAACAGUGUGCUAUCACAGAUAAACCAGUAAAUAUCAAUGUUAGAGAUCUAUCAUUGGUAUACUACUAUAUUUCUUUGAUAGAAUUAUAUCAUUGAUAUAAAAGCACUUUUGUGAUAGUAUAGUAUUAUUAUUUGACUCUUAUAAUCCUUUGAUAAAAUUAUAAUAGUUUUAUAAAAAUAUAAGUGAUAAAAACCUAUUAGUAAUAGUGUGGUAUCAAAGAUAGACUUCUUAUAGAAGUUUAUCAAUGAUAUAAUCAGUGCUUUUAGUAGGCUUUUUGGACAUUUUCUAUGGGUUGAAGACUAAUCUUUCUAUAUUUGUAAUUAGUUUUCAAAAUGGUUAUUAUUACAAUAUUUAUCCUCAUUUUGCUAUAUAUGCAAAUAACCAAAAAAAUUAUUUGCAUCUCAUUGGAAUUGAAACACGAGUGUCGUCAGAAGAGCUGCACAUACACAAACCAACCUAGCGACUUGAUUUUUAAAAAAUUAAUUUCUUAAAAAAUAUUUUAUCCUUUUAAAGGGGUGUUUGGCUCACCAACAUGAGUUGAGUUGGUAUAAUAUACCAACUUAUUGUUUGAUCCACUUUCUUUAAAUGUUGAUGGAUUUGAGUUGAUAUAUUUUACCAACUCACCUCAACUCUCCAUUUUUUCAAUGUUUUCAAUGCUUCCAUUCAUUGACCACCGUAAAAAAGCAUUGUUGCUUCACUUUGGGAACUAGCUCCGACGACCACUUUCACAUGCCCAACUCUAAGCUUCGACGACCAAUUCCUAGCUCUGACAAUCAGCUUGAACACAACUUCAACAACCAAUUCUAGGCCCUGACAAUCACUUUGAUGACAACUCAAAUGACCAAUUCUAGGCUUUGAUAGUCACUCUAAGGACAACUCCAACGACUAAUUUUGGGUUCCAACAAUUACUCUGAUUACAAACUUUGGUGACCAAUUCUGACAACCAAUUUUCAGGCUCCAACAAUCACUUUGAUGACAAUGCUGACGACCACCUUCUCGUAGUCAACUCCAAUGAUCAACUCCUAGCGCAACUCCAAUGAUCAACUCCUAGCGCCGACAUCCAUCUUCGAUGACAAUUUCAUAUGGUAGAGACUCUUUGGUUUCUCAUUUUAUUUAAUUAUAUUCUUUGUAAAAAAAUGUGGUUGGCUAAUUGUUGUUUUUGUUAUCUUAAAAAAAAUAAUUGUUGUUCUUGUGCUUUACUAAAAAUUCAAAGGAAGAAAAACCUUUUUAAAAAUUGUAACGCAUAUUAUAUUCAAACGAAAAGAUGGACAAAAUUAUUUUUAAAAAAAUCAAAACAAAAACAAAAAUAGAUUAUGAAAAGUUAAAAGAAACACCACACGCAUGUGGCAUAUGGAUUCAACCCUGCACCCUAAAUAUAGACAUAUGAACUUUACACCCGAAACAUAGGCAUAUAAGUUUUUCAAAUAUAUACACUCACUAAACAUCUAAACUUCAUACAUGCUAUAUCAACUUAACAUCCUAAAUAAACGUUUAGAGAUAGUAUAUUUGAAUUUCUUUUCAAGUGACAAACUAUUUUUAAACAAUAAUAUUUUUAUAAAUAUUUUGACCAUUUUGAUAGAUAUAGAUUUAUGAAGAUGGAUCAAAACUAGGAUUCUAGUGAGAGUAGAAGCCCAUGGACAGAGAGAAUUCUGAGAUGACUUACCAAGGCAAUGGAAAUGUGUUCCAUCAAUAACCAUCCUUAACCUUGAGAAGAUCAAUCAAAGUGGAUUAACAUAAGAUUCAUGAGAGAGCCUCAUGGUAGGUUGAAGUCUAAAGGUAGCUUUGAGGACUUUUGAAAGACCUAUUGGAUGGCAUCAAAGUGAUUGAGAAUUCUCAAUGAUGCAUAAAGAAACAAUUGAAUAGUUAAGUGCACUUAACAAUGGUGGUAGUGCAUACCCAAAGUAAUGACUCAAUAGUUAUAGAAAUUUGAAAUGAGCAAUUAUGUGCAAAAACAUCAGUUAUACAAUAAUAACUUUUAAAGACAACCAAACUCAUGGAUGAAAGGUAUGUCUAAAUUCUUUUACUAUUUUUUACUAUCAAGUUGAUCACAAGCUUGAAAUUGAUUUUACAGUAAAAUUUGUGUAACUCGACAUGACUCCAUUUUUUAUUAUCAACAAAAGCUAAAAUGUUUUUUUUUAUUACUAAAGCUAUAUUUUUUUAAAAAGUAAUUUAUAAGUUAAAAAAAUUGAGAUUUUCGAGUAUGAGACCUAAUUUUUGAAUGUCAUUAUGCAACUUUGACCUUGACCCCAAUUUCUAAAAGGAAAAACAAGGUUGAAAACUUAGGGACCGUUUGGCCCUCAGAUUAUAAAGGAUUAACUCACUCCAUGUUUAUCCCAAAGAUUAGGACUAUUAUAUAUAUUUUUAUUUAUUUUGUUCCCCACUCCCUCCUUUUAAUAUUUCUCAAUAUUCCCCACUAUCAGUUUCACUAUUUUUCAUCUGUCAUCUCUCCUAUAUGUCACUAUUUCACUAUUACUCACUUCACCAAACAUGAAUAAUAACAACCCAAACGGUAAUAAUCUGCACCUCAAACACAUUCUAUAAUAACGACCCAAAUGCUGUGUCCGUUAGCAUCGGUUGUGGUAUAAAAAUUUUGUUAGAAAAUAAAAAUGAAGAUGAAGUAGAGGGUAAUUAGGAUGCAUGGAUGAGUCAUGAAAGUGGAGUGUGAUGCAUAUGCAUGUGAUGAUGAUGGAUGAUCAUCUUGUUCAUGCCGCAUUCCAACAAAAUCCCCAUUUCCCAUUUUCUCUCUCUUCUUCUUCUCCUUCUCCUUCUCCGUCUCCUUCUUCUUCUUCUCGUCACUCUUCACCUUCUUCCUUUAGGGUUUCUGGGACUUAUACACUAUCACUCUCACAACUUUCUUAAUUUCUCGAUUUGCGCCUAAUUAUCCCAAUCCAUGAUCCCAAUCUAACAUCUUUUUCAACUCGCAUUCUCCUUCAGAGUUUGCUUUGCUUAGUCUUCUUUUUUUUUUCUUCUUCUGUAGCUGCCAUAACUCGGAUAGUAUCAUAGAUUAUUAGCAGGAUUAAUUCAUGGCCAAGACUAAACCUGGGAAGAAAGAUCUUGAUUCAUACACCAUCAAAGGCACCAACAAAAUUGUUCGACGUAUUGUCUCUCUGAGAACAAAGAUUCCUUUUGUUCUUCUUCUUCUUCUUCUUCUUUUGUUUUUGGGUUUACAUUCCCUUGCCCAAACUCCUUCCCGUUUUUGUUGCUUGUUUGUGUUCAAAGCGACACUUAAUUGGUCAUUUUCUUCGCAAUAUGACUUUUUGUCAUUCAAAGUUUUGGCUUGCAUUUUCUCUAAUUGCUUUUGGUUGCUUCUAGUGUGUGUCAUUGAUUUUUGGAAUUGGGUUUUUUGUGUUGGUUGUUAUUUGCAGAUGGUGACUGUGUGUUAAUGCGACCGUCGGACUCUGAUAAGCCUCCAUACGUUGCUCGAGUUGAAAAAAUUGAAGCUGAUCAUCGGAACAAUGUGAAGGUUCGAGUUCGGUGGUAUUAUCGACCCGAAGAAUCAAUUGGAGGUCGGAGGCAGUUUCAUGGGGCAAAGGAGCUUUUUCUCUCCGACCAUUUUGAUGUUCAGAGUGCUCACACGAUAGAGGGCAAAUGCACGGUGCACACUUUUAAAAAUUAUACCAAACUUGAGAAUGUUGGUGCGGAGGAUUACUUUUGCAGAUUCGAGUACAAGGCUGCCACUGGCGGAUUCACACCAGACCGUGUAGCUGUGUGAGUUCUAUGGUGCACUUUCAUUUUUCUAUUAAAACAAGCUUAAGUUUUUAUUUGUAUUCGAACAUUUGUGUUUUAUCUUGGUUUUGGGGUUUGUUUGAAUUGCAGGUACUGUAAAUGUGAGAUGCCAUACAACCCCGAUGACCUUAUGGUUCAGUGUGAGGGAUGCAAAGAUUGGUAAGUUCUUUGAUUUCUUAAUCGCCAGCAUGUGCUUACUGCUUUGUUUCAUCUUCUGCAACUUUUAGGGAGGAUAAUCUGAUGCUUGCUUGUUCUAUUAUUGUAUUUGUGUAGCUUUUGUUUGGAGAUGGUGUCAUCUACCUCCACCUUUUGCAGGAUUUUCUAUUUAUGUAAACUGUUCUUUUAUGUACCUAGGCUAUUUUUUGGGCAGAUGGUUUUUCUUGGAAAUUUAAUAGUAGGCACUCUGUUCAUGGUAAUUGUUAUGACAUUAUGGGGGUUAUGUAUCAAAAUGUGAACGGCAAUUCCGAGAUGAAAAGACUAGUUUCUGAUUCUUCAAACUCACAUAUAUGUUAUACAGGUUUCAUCCAUCAUGCAUGGGAAUGACCAUUGAAGAAGCGAAGAAGUUGGAUCAUUUUUUGUGUUCAGAUUGUUCCUCCGAAAAUGAAGCAAAGAGGUCCUUGAAUGCAUUUCCAGUAUCACCUUCUGCUGAGGCUAAGGUAAGGGAUGUUAAUUCAACUUUAUAUAUGAGGUACACUGCAAAAAUGGCAUUACAUAGAAUCAAAUUUAGAGGAGCUGAACAACAUUUGGAUUUUGUGUCGGAAUUACAUAGGACAUUAUAUACCUCUUUGUGGUCAGACCAUAUAAACCUUAAAAAGUCUAAAUUGGAUUCCUUGUCAGUUUGUAACUGUUAUUGUAUAUUUGCAAAAUGAAGAUUUUGGGAAGAAAUGCGACUAAAUGAAAUCUAACAUACAGACAACUCAAUUCUUAUGAUGUGGAGGGCAGAACCUCGAAAGUCUAGAUCUAGUAGGGUAGUUCUUGAAAUGCAUUCUAUGAAACUCUACUGUAAAGCACAUUGAAUAAUAUUAGUGGUCUCGAACACAAUUUGGUUUAGGUGACUUAUAACUUCAUUUUCUUAUUCCUUUGUCACGAUAAAGGAGCUAGGGAAUAAAAAGAAGAGAAGAGUCAAGAGGUUUUGAUGAUUGUAAAGACUAUUACAAAGACCUACAGAAACCUAAAAAGUACCAAUGCUAAGAGAAAGAAGAGUAUGGAAUGAACGAGUCAAUUCAAUAUGAACCUAGAAGGUGCAUUUGAACUCUUUAGUUUGCCUGGGAUUACACCACUCUAGGACUGCCUCUUAUGACAAGUAGUUUACAUUUGGUACUAGUAGCGGAUUCAAAAGUUUUGUUGACUGGAGGUUUUAUAAUGUAAUAAAAAUAAUCUUAAAAAAUGUAAGAAAUGUACAAAAUGGGGCUUGAAUCUGGGUCUAGAGGAGUUGGAAGACUACUUUACGACUGGGCCAACAAGCAAUAUCAAUAUAAUGUCAGUCAUAUAUAUAUAUAUAUAUAUAUAUAUUAGAAGAAUUCUAGCAAAUAGUACAAUUUAGGAAAUAAACUAAAAAUAUAACAUAAGGAUAAAAUAUUCGUAAAGCUAGCAAAUGUUGGCUAGUUAACUAGUAAAAGUUUUUAAAAUGUCAAGUCUGCAAUUCAGUGGCUAUCAUUGAUAGUUGCUAUCAAUAAUCGCAACUGAUAGCACAUUUCUCAAAUUGAAAGCUAUCACUGCUAGCAUCUAUCAGUGAUGGCAACUUAUAGUAGUUAUCAAUUGCUAUCAUGUUGCUAAUGUUUGCUAUCGUUAAUAGCUUUCAAUUUGAGAAAAUUGAGAAGAAGUACUCUUGAUUGUGGCAAAAAGAAAGUUAUCACUAAUAAUAACUACCAGUGAUAACUUUCAAUGUGAGAAAAUCGGGAAGAAGUGUGCGACAAUCAUUUCUCCAAUUGAAUGCUAUCAGUAAUAACAUCUAUUAGUGAUGACUUUAAAUUUGAGAAAUUCAAGAAGUCCCCAAAAUGGUUGUUGAACGGGGUUUUUUAGUCAAGUUGACCAUGUGGGUGAUCCCCAGUCAGGUGUUCGAAGAUCACUUGAGUUCUCAGAUAAUUGUUAGAAUCAAGUACCAAAAGAAAAGAUCAGAAUGGUAAUUAAUCAUGAAAUAGAUACAAAAAUUACAUCUCCCACUCAUAACAAAUGAUUCUGCCAUUAAUCUCUUUCCUUUCUAAUGAUCUGAAUCACAUCUGUUUAGAUGCAUAUGAUUGCCCACGUCUUUAAAGUUAUCCAGCAUGGAUUGUCCUUUUAGUCUCCUCAUAGUCAGGUUCUCUCCUAAUAUUCCUAUGGCAAUUCAACUCAGGAGGGUGUAACAUAGUGUUAGUGUAUGGCUACUUUUUUGGAUAAUCCCUAUGUUUGGCUGUAAAAAGGUCAAAGGCGGUGCAACACUAACAAAAUGAAUCUUUAUCGUGCUUUCUUGUUUUUAUUAAUUGUGAAAGGAUUUUAAUCAAUGAAACAGACAUAAGGAUUCUCGUGUUGAAUUCUCAUGCUAGGUGGAGCCAAAGCGCAGGAAGAGAUGAUGGGCCGAUCAGGAUUCAUGGAAGUGACAAGGAGGUGCGAUUUCCUGGGCCUUUAGUUUCUGUUAAUGUUGAUGUGGAAAUGUACAGCGAAGAUAAGAUAUUGUGCUCGCACAAACCAGAGGUUUUUCUUUCUUAAAAAAACUACAGUGUUCAAAAUACAUUUACGUGUGCUAAACCUGUGGGGUCAAUAUUGUGAUCUCAGAUCUGUGUUUGUAGUCGUGGGUACACGAUGCAAAAACUGCAGUUAUUUUUCUUAAGCGCGUAACUUAAGAAAACAUUUGCACGGAAAUAGAAAGACUAGGACAGAAGUGUGGAAAUGUUGUAAUUUGCUUGGCUCUGGCUUUUUUUAAGAUUGUAUUGAACUGUUCCGAGCCCCCCCUUUUAUUAUGACGUUUUUUAGUUUCUCUUUUUCGGGAACAAUGAUGGGUUGUUUGGAGUGAGCUGGUUUACUGAUGGCAUCUUUUACGGCUGCAUCAACCCAAGAAAGAAUGUUAGAUUGUUGCUAUCUUUCUUAUUGCAGGUGGAUUUUGUACUGUGGAUGCAAUGGUUGGAUCUGAAAGCAGGAGAGUAUGGAGGUUGGUUCAUCCAUGGAAGCUAUAAUAUUAGAGUGCACCAAAGCUUCUUCCUUUUUUAUCACAAUUUUCCUUUAAAUAGACACUCUUCUGCUUACAUGAAGCAUUUUCUAGGUAAAAUGAUGCAUUGGACAGAAUUGAUUUUGUUGACUUCCACUUCCAGGCAAUUGCAGCCAUUAUAUAGCCAUUGAGCUCUGAAAUUCCUCACCAACUUCGAAAGCAAACAUGGGGGAUAAACUUAUAGAACUUCCCCAUUUUUCUAUUUAUGAUCUCUCAUCUCAAUUCCUAUCAUCUAAAGGAAUUUGGUGAAUGUUUGGGUAAGAAUGUGAUGAAUUUUAUUUUGAUCCCUUUGGGCCAAUUUAUAUUUACUCAUGUGCCUUGUAUCUGUGCCCACUUACUCUUUGUAUAGAUCUUUAUUAAUAAUCUUCAGACAACCCUUCAUCCAUAUAUGAAUCUAAGAAAACUAACACAAAUAUGCACAUUUUGGAUACUUGUAUUGGGUAACAUUUUUUAAAAUACUAACAAGUAUAUAGAAACAUUUUUAAAGAAUGAAAGAAUUAUAAUAAAAUCUGUUAAUGGUACAUUUCUAUUGGUGAUAUACACGUAUUAAUGAUAUACGAUCGAUUAUUGACAUUAUUUUAACUUCUGUUAUAUUUGUAAAUUUUUUACAUUUGUUACAACUCUCUUUUAAAUACAAAUAGUUUUUAUAGCCUUAUUUUGCAACUCACUUUUAAAUACAAAUAGUUUUUAUAGCCUUAUUCUGAUAGAGAUGCGAAAACUACACCUUUUUUUUCAGCUUCUUACUCCAUUUUUCACUUAAUAGUAUAGUUUUUGACAAAAUGAGCAAACUUAAUUAUAAACUUGCAAAUAUAUUAAUUAGCAAAGCGACUUUAGAUUGUCUAUCUUUACAAUGGUAAGGAAAAAUUGUUAGUAAACUAGUAAAAGGCAUAGGACCGGAAAUGAAUUAUUACAAUUUUAGUCUUAUUUGCACUGAAGAAGAUUGGGACAUUCUAGUUUGGAUCGCCAUUAAUUGUUUGGUUAUAAUUUGGUCCAUAGUUUGGAAAGUAUAAAGUCGAUGUUAUUGCAAAAUUUAUCCUUAUAUUCAUUUAUAGAGUUGUUUACAAUGGCAUUAAGAAGAGGGAAAAUUAUCUACCCGAAUAUCAAAGAAUGAUAUAUUACUACCUAAGAGAAUACAGAAAUUGACUAGGCAUGAAAACCCAGCAUGGAUUUGUACAUAUACUGAGAAAAAGGAAAAAUCAAGGAUAGGAAAAGAAGAAUACGAUAAACAAAUUUCGAAUCAUUCCUUAAGAAGUAUCUCUAAGGCUUCAAAGAAGAGUGGUGCCAUGUCAAUGUUUGGCGUUUUGACGGCACAUUUCAAUCCAGGGCUUCCAAUAACUGUGGUGAGCUCAAUCAAGAAUGGGAUUCCUCUCGGGAUUUUCGUAGAGAAGUAGAAAACGUCCUGGUUAGCAUGCUUCCUUUUGGCAAUGAAGAACAUAUUCGUUGCAGCAAGUCGUUCAACAAUGGCCUCAACAUUGUUUAUAAGAAUGGUGGGGAGAUCUCUGAUAACUUCAUUCGAGUCCGGAAGGGACCUCCAAGUCUGAAAUGAAAAGGAUAGUUAAUGUCGUGAUUCAUACUAAAUAGUUUUGGACUCCCUUGAGGAGGAAGAAAAACAAAUCAACCUUAAUAAAGGGCAUCUAGAGCGAGGAGUAGAGUCAUGAACUCCUAGAGCCCACACUAUAAAUAGUUCAUAAGACAUAACAUUGAUAUCUUUUACUCAUGGAAUCCAUGAAUUCCGUGGAUCAAACAAUGGAGUGCAACUCUACUCCCUCAUCUUUGUGAGUCAAAGGAAAUCGCUGGAAACAUCACAUCCAAUAAUGUUCCCAACAAAUGAGAUGAGAAGAAAACUAGGGCUAUCAUUUUCACCUCAAGAAAGCUUGCACGCUCCAUCCUCCCAUCCUCAGUGAAGAAAAUAUGCAUCAAAAUUUUGUCACUGAAGUACAACACUGGCUGCUGGUUGUUCUUCACAGCUACCUGCAAGAGUGAGCUUGGAGGACCUUGUGACAUAUUUUGGAACACAACCAUAGGCAGGAGAGUAUUUGCAAUCGAUCCAGGUUGCAACUGCGGAACCUAUUUAUGGUAAAAGACAAGAAGUUAAUUUCAUCCAUAGAUAAUGUAAUCCAGACUCAAUUUGUAAAAAUCUACCUGUAAGGGUCCUGCAGCUGCCAGGCCAAAGGUAUUCUUGUUAAACUGAAUCAUAAAACCAUCAAGUAUCAUCUGCGAACUGUUAUCAAAAGUUAAACUGUAGAAUAUUUGACCGUCAUGGCGUAUGAGCUGUGCACUGAUUUGUAAACCUUGACCAGCUGAUGCUGUUAGCAGAAUAGGCAGUGGAGAGCUGCAAGGCCAGAAAACACAUUAAGUGUUCCCCAUGAAGAUGUUGGUCAGAAAAUUUUGUAGUAUUCACUUGCAGUAUUUCAGGAAUUAAUGUCUUCAGACCAAAAAGUUACUGCAGACUGCUAUGCAGAAGAUAUGAAAAUUUUUAUAAGUUGAAACUUACCCAGCAGGAGCUGCAGACUGGUCAACAGGGGCAAUAGCACUGUUAUCAAGUCCAAUCAGAUCACCAAGUAAAUCUGGAAUUGAAGCUGGAGGUGGAGAAGAGGAUGGGGCAGGGGCAAGGGUUGGGACUGGUCUUUUUGUUACUGAAUAGGGUGCAUCUGAAGUAGUAGGUGAUGCACCACCACCACUAGCAGCAUUGGCAGGAGGUUCCGAAUGUCCUGAAUUACUUCCUUCAGGAUAAUCGUCGUCGUCAAUUCUCUGGGACACUGUCUUCACACGAGUAACGAAUGCUUCAGGGGGCUUGUGAUAAACAGAGGAUAAAGUGGCAAUAUUGGCAAGAAGCUCAUCCAAAAGUGUGGAAUCAAGCAGAUUUGAAUCAUCACCAAUCACAGGUUUCUCAGCAAGAACAACAUCUUUUGCUGCCUGCAAAAUAGGAAAACACCAGAAAACUGAGAUUCAUGUGCCCCGGCAUCAAUAGAGAGAUGGGGUUGGUGGUGUUUAUACAUUCUUUUUCCUAAUAAUCAUGACAUUGGUAGUGUUUAUAUAUUCUUUUUAAUUGUGACAUAAACUUCGUCUCCUCUAAUUGCAUAAGCUGAUCUGCAAAACUGGUUGAAUUGCCCAUGUUUCUAUCUCAAACAUUGGAGGUUACAAUGACGAAGAAGCUAAAAAGGUUGAUUAUCAAAAUAAACCUCUGGAUCAGUUGAUAGGAGACGCCAAUAGAUAUACGCACGAUCCCGCAAAUCAGGAUUGUCUGUCUCCACAGUAGCAUUGUUUAAAACAGCCUGUAAAUGGAUAUGAAGUUAAUAUAAAUUGGUACAUCACGGGACCAUAAAUAUAGUGUACUAUGAUUUCAAAGUAUUAUUAUAUUAGUUAUAUCAGAUAAAAGUUCCCAUAUUCAUCUUGCUCAAAUGGACCAUAAAGUAAUGGCAACCACGGCACAGGAAUAUCAAAGAACCAUCAUAUGUUGAAAUUUAUGCUUGCAGAGAAAUGACCUGAAUCAUCUGCUGUGGUCCUUCAGUUGGCUUCUUAAGAAAAAGUUUGACCGUUGCUGUUAGCAAUUGUAAUUGGACUUGUGCAGGUUCCUCAGGAAAACUCUCCAAGAAGCUUUCAAGAAGUUCAUCUGCAUUGUCAAUUCUCUCUGCAUAUUCUCCAAUAAUCCAGAUCAUUGAUGCCUUGAGGAAGAGAGGUGGACAUAAUAUAUGGGCGUGAGAUCAGCAGAUUGAUUAAAAGAAAGAAAAGAAGUGAAGAGAAAGAAAGAAAACAGAAUAAAAGAUAUUAACAAGUUCUGCUGUUGAAAAUUAACCGAACAACCAUUACCUUGGCUUCUGGCUCAUCCAAUGUGUCUAAACUUUCACAGAGUGUAGCAAUGAUGGAUUCAUAACUGUAUACCGAAAAGGAAUUCAAAGUUGGAAUUAUGAAACAAUCAACCAAUCAAUCAAUCAAUGUCAAAGGGGGCAGGAAUGAAAAUAAUUGCUUACGUGUUAGGAUAUCUUCUGAAAAUAUCCUUUAUGACUAUAAUAGCCUCUUGGACCACGUAGUUCACUUUAAUUUUGAUCAGCUCAAGCAACACACUUAUGCACCGUUCAGCUGCUCUCUCUAGCUUGAUUGCACACCUACCAAUGGCACGAACAGCCUUUCUAACAAAAUCUACAUCUACUUCAGUAGCAUACUCUUUGAACUCCAGCAGAACCUGAAAAAAAAAUUAAUCAGAAGGGCAACAGUUUAUGGUAUGUUCCAAACAAUUAAUUAAUAGAUGCAACAAUGAAUAGAUAAGACUGUUGAAGAUUGUGUACCUGGUCUAUGUUUCGAUCAGAUGCAAGCUUAAUCAUGAUUUCUAACUUCUCCACUUUAACAUAGAUUGGAUCAUUGUACUUACAGAAGAAAACCUUCAUCAAUGAUGAGAAAGCAGAAAAAAGAAAACAAAAGAGUAGUAAGCUUCGAGAAAACAAGUGGUACAAAUUUGCUUGAUCAUUUACAUCCCUCUUUAUUACAAAUUACAAGCCACCAUCAUUAUUGAAAAAUUUAUCACCAACUCACCUUAAUUUCAUGAGCGAGAAUGGUGGGUCGCUUCAGUACUAUAAGGUUAAUAUUUCGCAGUGCAACAUAUUGUAUCUCAGGUUCUGAUGAGAGCAACGUAACAAGAGGAGGAGCCAUCUUUUUGCAAAGGUUUCGAACUAUAUCAGUGCUAGUGAUAAGUUCCAUUUGUAGGAGAAUCAUCUAUUAGUAAUGGAAAGAUAGAAAAAGAAAGAUAAAAGAUAUUAUUUAGUUGAAAUACACUUGGACAUUCUCAAAAUCAUCCAACAUAUACUAGGUUGAGAAACUCAAUUACUUGAUAGAAUAUUUACCUUCACAGCUGAUAAAACAACUGCACAAUUAGCAUGCUGUAGCCGGGGAGUAACUCUCUCCACGAUAUUUUCUGCUUCACGAGCAUCCUCUGUUUUGUAUCUAGAUAGUGCAUCUAGUAUAAAAACUUGUCCCCACCUGAAGGAAAUUAGAGUACAGUAAUUUUUGUCAAUAAAAAAAAAUGUACAAUUGAUGUCAAGAAUGCAGCAGAAAAGUAAAAAACUAAUAUGGAGACAAAACUCCAACCAACUAAUACGAAGCCUUUAGAUGUCCUCCCUGCACAAAUGCAGGAGCCAGAAUGAAAACAACAUUACUUCCCCACUCUAUGACAAAGCGUGGUGAUAAAAUCCUGUUUUUUGUGCACAUAUGUAACUCGACUACCUUAAUCCUGUAGGAACUUUCAUCCUUUUUGAUUUAUCAAAUAUCAACAAUUUGGUAAAAAUAUCACAUGGCGACUUGACAUUUUAAAACCACAAUAAUGUUUGCUUUUAGACAAGUGAAAUUUUUAAAAAGAGACCAAUUUUAUUAUAUCCCAUCGAUACACAAUUAGCUGUAACAGGGAGAAAAAGAAAAUGAAAAUUAAUCUCGGAUAUUAUCUUAUCUCCUUCAAAUAAAGUAUAAUAUUCACAAAGUUUUCAUUUUCGGUAAAGAAAAUGCAGCACUUACUCUGUACAUUCAUUUAAAGCCGUCAGAAGUUUUGACAGUGUGUGACUUGUGAUCUCAAAGAUGGGUUUGCUACUAUCCUCCUGAAUCUCAGCAAGAGCUGCCACAGCAUUUGCAACAACCAUCGGGUUAUUAUCUGAUAUUAAAUCUUUGAGAGAAUCCAAAAAGCCCCUGUCCUCAACUAACUCAGCAUUUAUAUCAAAAAGUUUGGCGACACAUAUGGCAGCUGUCUUGCGGACAUAAGGGUCAUCGUCCUGUCAAAACAUUGUAAAACCAAAAGAUUAGAUUUAUAUCUAUUCUUCAGAAAACAAUAAUAUAACUUCUCUCUCCUCCUAAGCUUAGUUAUUCCUUUCCAGACAAUGACUUUGAAUCAACAAUUCGAUGCAAAUGCUAAAUAUUUACAACCAAACAUGCGAACAUAAGAAUACACCACAAUACAAACCUUGAGGCAUCUCUGAAGAGGAUCACACAAAUACUCCGUAAUUUUAUCCACACGAAUGCAUCCCAUUGUCCUUACAGCUAAAGCACGGAUUAAAGGAUUUGGAUCUUGUGAAUCCUGCACAAAUAUGCAUUAGAAAAGAUACUUCUAGAACUCCCUAGCUACACAAAGCUAAGAAAUCAAGUACUUACUUUCACAAAUGUGUUCACAGCAAGAAUUGCUAGAUCAGGCUGGCUUUUGGCAUAAUUAAUUAGAUACAAGUAAACAAGCUUUUUCAGUUCCAAAUUUUCAGUCUGCAUACAAUUCACCACAUCUGUGAACAAUGAUGAUACAUCCUUCCCAACAGUCAUUGCCGCAAUGACCUUUUUAACAGCAUCUUUUCUCUUAUCCUGCAAAAUAUUUUAAAAAAUUCCUCCUUAAGAGACACACCAUUUAAACCGAAAACAAACCCCAUUUUUCAGAUAUGAAGACUACUUCUAAGAUAUGAAACUUCACAAACAAAAAUAUAUUAACUUUGAUCCGUCUUGUACGAAAGGUUCUUGUAUGCAGAAACAGUAAAUCAAUCAAGUUGGGUAAAUACAAACGGAAAACCCCAUCUCAGCAAGCAAAUACAACGUCUCAUCCGCGUUCAAUUCACAUACAAAUUAUAAAAAAAUAAAAUGGUGAUACUAUUACAGGAAUUGGAACACUAGAAUUGAAUUACAAGAUGAUAGCAAAAGCAACAGAUCUGAAGUAGGUAAGUUUGAUAUUGAUGACGGACAAAACAAACAAUUAUGGAGUAAAAGAGAAAGAGAAAGAGAAAUGCCUUGUACUGGGAAUUAAGCUCCUCUUUGAGCUCGGGAAUUUCACCCUUUUUGGUGGUAGAGAAAUACUUGGAAUCAUGGCCGCUCAUGUUUCUUCGUAAGAUCCCCAAUUUCCAGCGUCCGGCAUUCAACUUUUAAGGAAGACGACUCAACACAUUUACAUUUCCAUACUAUCAAACAACAAUUCAUUCACAUUCUUCAAUAUAUAUAUAUAUAUAAGAAUUUUAUUAUUAUCAUUACCAAGACACUUUUUUUAGUGUCAAAUAUUUCUAUUAAAGCAAUAUUUAUUUUCAAAAAAUUUAAUAUGCAACUAUUUAGUUUUUGAAUUUAUCUUAUUAUUAAAUAAAAUUAUAUGGUAUAGAUUGAUAAAGUGAGAAGGCACUAAAUGUGUUCAUAAACAAACAAACAAAAAAAAAAAGAUAAAUUGUUGCGUAAUAAAAAUUGAUGUUUUAUUUGAAAAAUGGUUAGAAAUUAAGUAAAAACGAUUAAAUUGUUAUGUAUUCAAAUUUGAACAUAACUAAAAAUACGAGAUUGAAGUGUUUUAAUCUAACUAAUUUUUUGCUUAAAGUUCUAUAAGUUAAAAUAGAAUAUUCGAAAAAUUAUAGAAUUAGAUUACUACAAUUUUAUUUGAUUUUUAAGUCACAAUUCAUUAACCUUACUUUUAGUCUCAACAUAAAAAUAACUUAAUUGCUAUGUUAAAGCAUGAAGUAUCGUCCAAGAGAUAAAGAAAUAUGUUAGGCCAUUUGUGAAUCCAUUCAGAAAGUGAAAAAUAUAAAUAAUUCAUAGUUUUUUUAAUACUAUUUUUAUUUUUACAAAAGAUAUUGUAUGAAAGAGCGGAAUCAAGAAUGGAGUUUGGCAUUGAAUUUCCAGCAAAAUGCCAAUUCGGCAGUCAUUCCUAUCCUACAUUGUUGUUCAUUGCAAUCUACCUGCCAAACAUCAUACUUCCAAAGGAUUUCAAGACUUGACAUGUUUAACGAAAUAUAUGUUUUAACUUUGAAAUGAACUGAUGGCAUUCUAGAAACAAGAAAUCAAAUUUUCUUUUUUUGGUCUGAAAGGAUGCAACGAUUAGUGGUCAUCACCAUAUGCUCUGAAACUGUACCGCUCUUGAUAAGGUCCGUUGAAAAACAGGUCAGCUUCAAACCACUUUGGAUACCGAACAAGGUCUCCGGCCACAAAACUCAUGUACUGCUUGCUCCCUUCCGGAACCACUCUCACUUCACCUUCCUCAAUGUAUACCAGUUGAUCUGCUUGCCAGUCCCAUGGCAAUUUACACUUUCCUGUCUUCCAUAUCGACCAACUCGAAACUCUGAGCUGGGAAAGGCGCUCCUCCGAUACUUUCCGUUCAACUUUUACAUUGUACAAUUCCUCAAGAGGUUUCUCUAUCCGCAUAGCCCUUACACUGUGAGAUUUCAACUUUCUAUAGUUUUUGCUCCCUAUACUCACAUGGAAUGAGGCCAUUGUAGGAGCAGCCAGCAUACUCGCCAUGCUUAACAAUAUAUAAAUGCUACCUUCACAGAAUGUUGAAGCCCAGACAAACUAGUACAGAAGAUGGAUAAAACUGUCUGCAAAGGAUCGAGAAAACUUUUGAGCUGUUUAAAACUUAUCUUCUUCAGUAAAAUGCCGAGCAUUCAUUGGGAAAAAAAAAUGAACGAAUACAGAAGACAUAAAAAGAAAACACCAAAAAGGAAAAGUCACUGAUCUAAGAAAGGGCUCCAGUCAAGCAAAAAUAAGAUCUAAAUAAUGGAAAACUCCGAGAGAGGCGUGAAAUCUAGAAAGGGUUCACAGCUCCCCACAAGUUUUUCAACCACUCUUAAAGUUCUAUUGCUCUUAAACCCUAACUCUACUGAUAGAAUUUGCCCGUUCAUUUUGUUGUUGGGCUCUCUCAAUCUUUAUCAAUGGGUUUAUGAAAACAGAGUUUCCAACUUCUAAUUGCACAUUUAUGGUGGCAUUCCCUUCCAUCAAAACUUCAUUUCUUGAUACGUAAAAAACACAAAAUUUCCAACAAACAGGUUUUGGAAAGGCAUUGCAAUUCUAGUAAUAUACUAAGAAAUUUCAGCAUGGCAAAUCUUGCAAUCACAAUCUACAAGACCCAGUAAUGAAAAUUUUGUCGUAGCGGCUAAAACAGACGACACAAGCUCAAGCUCAAUAAAGAAGGACAUGGGUAUUCCCAUUCAAAGAAAACCCUCCUCGUUUCCCUACAAUUCUUCAUUAAACUCGUAGAAAGUUUCAAAAAUGCAAAAGAGGAAACAAACUAAAACUAAAACUAAAACUUAGAAAAAGACUGCAAAAAAUAGUCCAUUAGAAUUCAAAAGAUUGAUAGAAAUCAGAUCAUUACCUUUAAAAUUGCCCACGGAUUUGGAGAAAUGAAGAGAAUACGAGUUGAAAGGUGGAAGCAAAUAGAAAGCCCUAAAACCCUCAAGCAAGGUUUAUCCAAAAAAAAUCCCCUUUUACACGUCACUGGCGGGAACUUUUGACUGGAAACCGGGACUCGCGGUUUCCUUAUCUCGUUUAAAGAAACAACCAAAUUUGAAGAAGGAUGGCAGGUUUAGUUAACGUGUACAUUUGUGGUUCGCAAAUGUUUCAAAACCAACAUGGCCUCUGUUGGUUUAGAGUGAGUAAGAAAUGAAGAAAUUGUAGAGAAGGGUCUGUGGUAUAUCUAUGGAUAUUUCGGCCAUGGCCUCUGUUCAUCUCAGAGCUCACAAUCUUUUGGCAAGGAACCCAUAUGGAAGAUCAUGUUUUCAUCGACCAUUGGCGGCCAAACUCCAGAAAAAUUUCAAAAUUCAAGCAAAUAUUGAAACCAAAGUCGCAUCUUCCAGAACCCAGGUAAACCUUUUGCACAAUCACAUUAUUUCGGGCUUUAAAGGUAACCUUCUGUUGUGAUAGAAGGAAGAAAAGCAAUUACCCUUCAUUUGCUAUUAGAUUGAAAAUGAUGAUAAAAAAAGAUGGUAUGAUCUUCAUAAUGGAAAGACUCUCUAUCUAUUUGGAUUAUGGUGGUAUAUGCAAAAUGAUGUAUUCUUUUGCUGUACAACUGUGAUAUAAACCAUAAAUAUGAAACGAUAUGAUUUAAUGGUGAAAAUGUAUUGAAAUGGAUCAUUACAUGUGUUGUUUUUCAAGUUGCAACUAGAAAUGAUAUAUCUCAUUGCAUAUGGAUGUGAUUUAAGAUAUGAAAAACACACUGGAACGAUGGCAUCGUUCAAGAUGUGUUUAAAAAACAAUAAUAUCAUUUGCUUUUAAAAUUUCAUUAAACUUCUGUUUUGUUGUCUAUUUUCAAAUAAGCUAUAACUAUUUUCUAACAAGCAUGUACACUUCAUAUUAGAGGUGGUAUCAAUGUCGGACACUUAGGGGACACACAUUCGUUCGUACACAUGUAGGAUAUGCCAAAUUCCAUAUAUUUUUUUUUAAUUUUCGGACACGUCCGGACACACCCAAAUCCCAAUUGCAGUUUGAUAGGAGAGGGAGGAGACCGUUGCUCUUCAUUGAAAAAUUCCCAAUUGUAGUUAUGAGAGCUUGUCAUAACAUAAAAAUACAAGAGGAAAAGAAAACGAUAGGAGAGGGAGGAGACCAUUGCUCUUCAUUGAAAAAAUUCAUUCUUAAGUUCUCAUUGGAAACUGAAAGGGUCACAGUCAUCUCCUUCCCUUUUCUCAUUAAUUGUGGUUUUGCAGCUUCCUUUGAAUGUGUUCACACCCGAACUUUUCAAUGUCGAAUCUUUUGCCGUAGAUGAAGAACUCCAAUGAGAGGAGGAAGAAACUCCAAUGACGGACUUUUAUUAGUUUUUAAUAUUUAAUUUUUUUGUAUGGAAAAUCACUUCCCAAUUUCUAUUGUUAGGUUAAAGUUAACUUAGGUAAUGGUUGAAUGUUUGAUAUAUACAUAAUAUAAUAUAUUUUGUGCUCCUACAAACUGCAAUGGUUAAAUAUUAACUUGACAAUUGACAAUGACACAAUCAUAUUUUAUGCUUUUUUUGUGAAGAACAUUUAGUUUUAUUUCAGGAAAUGAAUAACAUUUAGUAUUUUGUGACAAAUUUACAUUAUAUUAUAAAAAAAAUAAUUUUAAAAAAUAGCAUAUCUCCAUCGUGUUCGUGUCCUAUUAUUUUAAAAUUUUGGUGUAUCGCCAUGUCCGAUCAUGUUCAUGUGUGUGUACUGUGUCCGUAUCCGUGCCGUGUCAUAUCCAUGUAUGUGUCUGUGUCUGUUCCGUAUCCAUGCUUCUUAGACUAUUCGAUUCAACCAAUGUAAAAGAUGAUUUAAAUUAUAAAAUUCACAAGCAUUGCAUAUGUUAUGAACUAGUUAUAUAAAAAGUUGGAAUGUAUUGGAAGUUUUCUAGCAAUGCGAGGCUGCUUUGUUCGACAUCUGAAUUAACUGACUGCUGCUUCCAAUUUGUUAAUUCAGAGAAUAAUGGAGGGCAUAUCAGUUACAGGGGAAGUUGGUGGUGCUGGUGGAGCUUAUUCAUACAACGCAUUGAAGAGGUUGGAUCAAAUUUGGUCCAGAAUUUGCUCUGACCAAGAAAGUGAGAAUUUUUUUAUCUGGUCCUUUUUCAAGCCCGUUUAAGUUGUUGGGGAGGUAAGGCAAGUCCUGUUCUUAUCUACUUUUUGCAGUACCUGAAGCUGCUCAAGAAGUCGUUCGUCGUGUAUCUGGUGCAUUUAGCCGUUCUGAUUUGGAAGAGAAAGCCAUCGACACAUUUGAUGUGUUGGUGUGUGGAGGUACUUUGGGUGUCUUCAUAGCAACAGCAUUGAGUUUGAAGGGGCUCCGUAUCGGUAUAGUCGAAAGAAAUGUUCUGAAAGGGGUAAAUAUUCUUGACAAUGGAUUUAAUCCAAGAUUUUGUGAAAGAAUUACAAAUCAGCUGUAUAAUUGAGAAGGGAUCUUUCUAAUGAUAAGUCUUUUGUUGGCUGUCAUGGGUCAGAGGGAACAAGAAUGGAACAUUUCAAGGAAAGAGCUGUUGGAACUCGUUGAAGUUGGAGUUAUAACAGAAGAUGAAAUUGAACAAGCUACAGCAAUGAAGUUUAAUCCUGUAAGUUUUAAGAUUUAAAACCUAUUUUAAAAGACUUUCCAGUGCUUCACGUAAUUAAAGUUAGAAAGUUUAGUUUUAGGCCUAAGUAAAUUUAUUGGUGUAACUAAAGUCAACUUCAGUUAACAGCGUCUGUAUGUAAACACUUCUCUGGCUAAAAUGUUCGAACGUUUCCAUUACUUAUGAUGUAUGAACAAUGAGAUGGUAUUCCAUCCUGCCUUUUAAUGUUUCGGACACUUAUCAAUCAUAAAUUGCAGAACAGAUGUGCAUUUGAAGGGAAAGGCGAAAUCUGGGUUGAAAACAUUCUCAAUCUUGGUGUCUCGUGAGUUUCUUCUUUCUUCUUACUUAUAUAUAUUGAAACUUAAUCUGUAAAUCUGAAUCUCUUAUUCCACCAUUGCAGACCAGAGAAGCUUAUAGAGCUUGUGAAGAAACGUUUCAUUUCCCUAGGUGGAGUCAUCUUUGAGGGAUGCAACGUUUCAAGCAUUUGCAUAUAUGAUGAUACGACUGUGAGUUGAUUUAUGGUAGUAAUAAUUUGAUCCUGCUGUCAUAUCAAAGUAAAAUGAGAGACAUUGCUAGCUAGAAAAUGGGUCAUUGUUGUCUACACAAUAUUGUCAAACUACCAUUUAUUGCAUCAAUGAUCAAAGGAAUCCAAGUUCAGAGAAGUAAUCAACUUGUUCGUAGAAACAGAUUACUAAAGCUGCGAGUUUAUUUUAUUAUAUUGUUCCUUUCUUUUCAAAGGUGAUGCAACUUUCUGAUGGGAACAUUUUAUCCUCCCAACUCACUAUCGAUGCAAUGGGGAAUUUUUCACCCGUGGUGAAACAGGUAUAGUUGUAGCUUAGUUCAGACAAAGUUUGUAACAUAUGAAUGCUACAUAACCCAUUUAUUGCCUCACAAUGUUGCAUGUAGUCAUGUUGUAGAUAAGACGUGGGAGGAAGCCUGAUGGUGUUUGUUUAGUUGUUGGAUCUUGUGCUCGUGGAUUUAGAGAUAACUCGACUAGUGAUGUAAUUUACAGCAGCUCAUCCUUAAGAAAGGUUGGGAGCUCAGAAGUUCAACUUUUCUGGGAGGUAAGCUUUGUUUCUGUGGCAGCAAUAAUUAGAUCUUUUGAUGCUGAGGAUUCAAGUUCUCUUACAAUUUCACAGGCAUUUCCAGCCGGGUCUGGUCCGGUAGAUCGAACUACUUACAUGUUCACAUACAUCGAUCCUCAACCAGGAUCGCCAAAACUUGAAGAACUUUUAGAAGAAUACUGGGAUUUAAUGCCAAAAUAUCAGGUUAUCUUCUAGUUUACAUAUCCUGUUGGUUUCGAUAUGAACAUCUUAUUCAUUCCCCUUGUAGACUUCAGUGAAUUUUAUGAUUGUUGUAAACUUGUUUCCAUGGUAGGGAGUCUCUCUUGAUGACUUGAAGAUAUUGAGAAUUAUAUAUGGCGUCUUUCCUACUUAUCGUAACAGGUACAAUAGUUUUGAGCAGUAAUGAGAAACUUAGUCAUGAUCUUCUCAUAACCAUAAACCUUUUUCUAUGAAGUACUUGUUUCUUUUUGUUUCUAUGACGAUACAAUAUAAUAUCUAGUAUCUAACACACCCAACUUAAUCAGCCCGCUGCCAGCUGCUUUCGAUCGUGUCCUUCAGGUAAUAAGGAUUUAGCAUUUUAAAGCCUGAAAAAAGAUUGAUUGUCAAACGCUAUAUCUGUAAAGAAUACUGAAAUAUCUCUCUUUAGUUUGGAGAUGCAAGUGGCAUUCAGUCACCUGUUUCAUUUGGUGGCUUUGGAAGCUUGACUAGGCACCUUGGGAGGCUGUCAACUGGUAUUGUCUUAAAACAAAAGUAUUGGUUCCAUGCUUAUCGUAUAGAUGAUAGAGAUCACAAGAGUUACAAAAUUUCAUAUCUUGUUGAUUUCAAAAGGCAUAUAUGAAGCUGUAACCGAAAACUUCCUCGACUCCAAUAGCUUAUCACUGUUGAAUCCUUACAUGGUUGGUUAAUAUGCUGUAUUCUGGCUAGAUAUUUUCCCUUAUCAUAACUACAUAGAAACUAAAGCAUAAAUCUUUACUGCAGCCAAAUUUAAGUAGUUCAUGGUUGUUUCAAAGAGCUAUGUCAGCAAAGCAACGAUCAAACAUUUCUCCAUAUUUCAUCAAUGAGCUUCUUCAUGUAAACUUUCAGAGUAUGCAGGUAAGCUUAUACACUAAUGGAACAAUACUCAUAAUUUAUUGAAUUCAGACAUAAAAAACUUUUGUUCUCUGUUUUGUCUCUCCACAGAGAUUGGGGGAUCCAGUGCUAAGACCAUUCCUUCAGGUCAUAUUUGUUCUUUGAUUUAUUUAGGUUCCAAUUGAUAAACCAUUUUUUAGCUUUUGAAAGUUCUAUACCUCCAUUAGUUCAACCAAACAUGGCUUAAACGAUAAUUCAUUUUGUUCUUCAUACUUUGGCAGGAUGUUGUACAGUUUGUACCUCUUACCCAAACCCUAGGUCUAGUUAUGUUAACCAAACCUCAACUUCUUCCAUCAAUAUUCAAACAGGUGAGUUAUAAGUUCAUUAUAAUUGAGUUUAUUGAAGCUUUUCUAUUUCCUUGUUGACUCAGUUUCGUCUUGAGUUUAAAUUGUUAUAUGGAUAAGAAUUGUGUUUUAUUGAGCUUAGGUUGGCAUCCCGGUGCUGCUUGACUGGUUUGGGCAUUUUGGCAUGCUUGGCUACUACACGUUUCUCUCGACAUUUGUCGAUCCAAUUGUAAGGUAAAAGGUCCCUACUGGUUAUGUCAAACAAAGCUGACAUUUUCCCUUUUCUUUUCGUGAAACUUUCUUGUAUUUGCGAUCUUCUGUUCAUAUUUCUCCUAUAACUUUACCAAAUUGUGCAUUUUUCAAGGUCAUUCCUAAGUUCAUUAACGCCAAAGGAGACUUUUGAGUGGAAACGACGACUUGAGGCCUGGAAGUAUGGAGCUGGUUUAGAUUACAAGCUAUGAAGAACAAGUUUGAGAAAGAAACAGGGAGUUGGAAAGUUCUAUAUAUCAACAUCGAUCUUACGUAUUAGUAUUACUUAGCUAGCAAACAGUAACAUUAAAUACUCCAUCUAUAAAGAUGGGAAUAAGAAAAUGAUACUCUAUUAUUUACAGAUUUACACUAGAUAAACAAAAGAAGGUCAAAAAAAUUGUGCAGUUUAGUUGGGAGUCUUGGCACCCAAAAUCUUUGAGAGUUCCUUUAUGAGAGGCUUCUCUUUGAUAUCGUUAUCUCUUUCCACAUGCCAUUUUUUUGACAUAUCAUCAGCCUAAAACUCCGAAAAAAAAGCUUGGUUAGAUAAAGAACUGGCAAAAGGAAAACCUGGUAACAGGUGAAUGCAGUGAGAAUCAUUUAAAUGAUACAACAUACCCAGACUUUGAAGGGAACAAGUUGCUGUCUAAUCAUUUCCAUCUUUGGUUCAAUCAUGCCUUUUCCUUUUGUUUGAAUCUCGCUUGCCUGUCAAAAAAUAAAGUUGCCAUGACCAGAGUUAAAUGGAAACGUCUGUGCAUGUACAAAAACCACCAAAAGUUAAGACAUCAAAUCCAUGUUUACAUUGUUGACAUCUAGCUUGGACAAGGUGAAUCCAAAGAUCAAGGUGGCACCACCAAAGACAAGCGCAGUAGCUGCAGCAAACGCCUUUCCAACUACAUGAAAACCAAAGGUCUAUUGAUUAGGAUGAGGGAGAAAUUGGGAAUUUAUUUUCUUUUAGGGGUUACCAUGAGCAAGGCCUUCAGCAGCAGCCUUCAACUUCUCAGGAUUUAUAGGGGUAUGUUUAUCGGUCCGCAAAUCAUUAGCAGUUGAGGCCAAUAUUGAGUUCUCAGAUUGAGGCAAUUCCCACCUGCAUCAACUAAAACUUUUUCAUGAGAAACAGAACUUUCUAGAGAAAUGAAAGAGUACAAAUGGUAAGACAACAAAAAGGACAAACAGAAAAAGUUCAAACCAAUAAAACAAUACAAAACCAAAGAACAGACAAAAACAAAAGAAGAAUCACAAAGUAUGGCUCAACCCGUCGAAGAUAAGAGAAAAAUGUAGUUAUUUUGAUGGGAAACUUCAAAAGACAGUUUAAAGCUGUUUAGACAAAGAGACAGAGGUGUGUUGUACUUAGUUGUAUUCCACCACCCCCAAACAUCUCUACUCUAAAAGUUCUCCUAUUUCUCAAUUCUCUCGAACCACAAAAAGUCACCAGCCUCAAAGAAGCCUUCCUCAAUCGUCCAUAAAAGAAGGAUGGAACACAACAUUUCCCAAUAUCAAGUGAUACAAACUGUUACUUGUGCAAUCAACUUUUUUAGCAGCAAAUAAAAAACUUCAACUUAAUGGAUACUAUUUACUUUCCCAAGUGCAUCGGAAUCAUUAUAGGAUUGACAUCUUGCUUCAACAAUCACCACCUCAAAAAUCUACACCGAUUACUGUUUCUUCAGGUAAAGGCACAUGCCUAUACUGUUGCCCAGAAAUAAAAUGAAUUCCCAAUUUCCAUUGUACAGCACAAAGCUAAUUUGGUGUACAUAUAUAUCAGAAUAACCAACUUCAAGUACAAACUAUGCACCACAGAAACGAACAAAAAACAAGAAAAUCAAACCACGUCUGUCGUCUAAUAAGGAUGGUCUAUCAAAAUCCAGAUAAUCGAAAUUAAACCCAAUUACACAUAGGGAUUUCAUUUCGAAAUUCUGCAUUUUCAUGAACAACCAAAACAUAUCAAUUGGAGAAAUAGAAGGAAUUAUGUAAUGAAACAAACCUUUUGGGGCCGAAUGUAACCUGGGGAAGGGAGAGGAAAUCCCUAAGAGGGUUAAGAGAAUUGGAAGAGACAGAGCGGUAAUUAGGGUCAGAGGGAAGAACCCAUUUGGAAGUAGAGAAGGAUCCACUGGAGUUUGCAGAUUCCUCCCUGAAGAUUGUAGAGGGCAGAGAGUGCCUUAAGACUUCAGGAAGAAUGUCGGCUUGUGGUUCACCGUGGGGCAGAGAAUGGGAAGAAGGCGGUGAUUGGGCAGGGAAUUUGUGGGCGGUGUUCUUUUGGGCAAGGCGACCAACGGCAUGUUUGGAUUCUUGAAUAAAGUAUGCCGCCUCUUUGCCGGCCAAUCUUCCAGCCAAAAAGCUCAUUGUUCUCCACUUCUCCUUCAACCUCUUGGUUACUCCAAUUCGUCGGAAUUCUGUUGGCCUGAUGAGUGGCUGAAAAUUUAGCGGCAAAGCUCACUUUAUAGUUUUUUCUUAUAAAGAAAGGAAAUAGAUUUUUUAUUUUUAAAAAUCUAAGAAAAUUAUUUACGAAAAAGUUUAUUAGAUGUAAAAUGUUUUUGUAAAUUUUUCUACUCUUCACUUUAUAUAUGACUUAAUUUUUAGUACUGGAGAGGUUUUAUUUUAAAACACUAUUUGUUUAAAUAUAAGCCACUAAUUUUAUUAGUUUUUGGAUUUAUAUCUCAUUUAAUUUUUUUAAUUUAUUUUUUGUUUGCUCACCAUGCUCUCCAACCUUAAUUUUAGUAUAUAAACUUUCAAGUUCCUUUCAAGUUUGCUCAUCAAACUACUAAAUUUAUUUAAUAGAAUACAUUCAAAUAUAGUCGAAUAAAUUAAAAUAUUUAUAAAAUAUAACACAAUUUUAUAUUUUAUCCAUUAUUGAUAUUGAUAAACACUAACAUAAAAGGAUGGGCUUUAAAUUUUUACUUAGUUUGUAAAUAUUUUCGAUAGUUUAGUUAUUUAUAAUAAUUUUUAUAUUUAAUUUUUUAUUUUAUAAAAUAUGAACUAUUCUUUUUUUUUUUUCCUUUACUUUUAUAUUAACAACUUAAUAAUAUAGUUCUGAAUAGAUGUACCGAUAUAAUGUGACUUAAUGAUAUAGUUCUGAAUAGAUGUACAUAUAUAAUAUGACUUUUAAACCAAAUACGCAAGAGAUUAAUCUUGGGAAAAACAAAAUUGAGAUUAAAAAAAAGUGAGGAUGAAAAUACAUUGUUUUUUUUGUUUUUUUGAAACUUAAAUGCCUAGAAUAGUUGUUUUGAAAAUAUAUGAGCCAAAAAUAGAAUAAAAUGUUUUAAACUCUAAAGACUAAUAUAAAACAAACUUGAAAAUCAUGGACUACAAUAAAAGUUAAACCUAAUUUUAACUCAUUUAUGAUCUUUGAUGAAUGUUAAAAUUUAAUAAGGUAUUUUGAAACAUACCAAAAUGAACUAAAAUAUAUACAAACAAUUUUUUUUAUAUACUAUCGGUAUUUUUAGUGAUAUUGUUAGACUUAUAAAGACACUGAUAGAAGUUGAUCAAUUGAUAUAUCAUCGAUAAAUUGAUAGAAUCUGAAAUUUUAUAAUACUUUAUAAAUAUCUUCAAUAAUUUUAUCAUUACCAUAAUUUCUCAAAUUAUUAUCGUGAUUUUUUUUUCAAAAGAAAAGAUUAACUCGUUAAAUAAUACUUUGUAAAUUGGCAAAAAAAAAGGAAAAUGUGGGAAAAUGUCACUUUAAGAGGUAAAAAGAAAACUUUAUACUUCCUCAAAAUAUUUACAACUUUUAUUAUAAAAAUAAAAGUGUAAUAAAAUUAAAAUAUAAAAAGACUAAGUAUUUUUAUACUUUUAGUAUAAAGGAAUGUUUGAAGUUUCUACUUGAAAAGAAGAAGUAAAUGACAAUUUCCACAAUUAUGUAAAGGAAAGUAUUCAUAUAGCAUUGGUUCUACAAUGGUGUAAGUAAGUUAUAAAUGCAACAAUUUAUUACUUCAUGAGUCAUAGGACCAUCAUCACAAUUAUUUUAUUUAACUUCUAUAUAAAUACUUAUGUGUCAUCAUAUGUAAAAGUUAUAUUAUACAUCUUUCUAUAUAUCUAAUUCAAUUAAAAUAAAGAAAAAGAAAAAGAAAACUUAUUCUAUAACUUUAAUAAAAUUUCAUAGACUUGGAAAGGGAAGACUCCCUUUUUCCUUUUUGGCACAAAGGGUUGUGGAGAACUUUCCCUUAAUUACAAAUUGUCUUCUAAAAGUCAUAAUUCUUUUUAAUUAUUAAAUUCAAUUAAAUCAUUGCUUUAUGCAAUCAAAGUAUUUAUUAUUUUUAAUUCAAUUUUUUAAAGUUUGUUGUUUUUUUCUUUUUUUUCUUUGACGUAUUUGUUUGAUAAUCACACCAUCAUCCUCAAUCCCAAUUGGGCUUUCUCUCUUUCUAAAAUGUUUAUUAAUUGAAAUUGUUUACUCAAUUUAUUCAUGUUGAAAGGUCAAAUUAUUCUAUACCAUAUAAUAAUAAUGAUAAUAAUACCAUCUUUUGUGACCAAUUUUGUUUUUCUUGGAGGACAAGCAGCACAGAAAAGUGGACAUCAUUUUUUCUUGGGCUUCAAGAUGAAGAUGUUAGUAAUAUUUUAUUGAAGAAAAUGGAAGUUUUGAAUCUGUAUAUAUCAUUAAUUAUAAUGUAAUUCUGUUGAAAAAUAUUGACAUUUAAAAAAUAAUCAAUAAUGUGUGAGCUGAGAUUUAGAAGACUCUAAUUAUACCUAUGUAGAUUAUUACAUUAGAUAUUAGGAACUUCUAUCUUAAAUUCAAAUUGACAACAAAAUGAGUAAACUAUAUAUAAUUUUAUUAAUUAGAAGUGUGAAUAUAUGUUUGCCGUCGUGACUUCUUUUAGCAAUGGUUGAGUAAGGAAAAGUUAGAGUAUAGAUAACUUAUCAUGUCAUUAUGCCAAAAUCCUAGUGUUUUCAAUUUAUAACACAAUUUUUAAUUAAUAUAUGAUCAAGUUUCAUAAUAGAUUCGCAUAAAUCUGAGUUUAUGUAACACAUGAAAGCUUCAGCGAUUAUUGAAUAAAAGUUGUAUUUAUUAACAUUAGGUUACAUGAACUUAAUAAACUUGAGUGAAUUGAGAUAGCAUUUGGACUGUAUUAUUGAAUUUUGAAAGUUGAACGAUGAACUAAAAAAGGUGAGAAUAUUUUGAUGUUGAUUCUCUCGUGGACUUAUUGUGGCAAAAGAUAGCAAUAUAUACACAAUAAUAUAGAGAAUAUAGUAAAACAAAAAUUCUAUAUUCAACUCCACAAUAAUUUUAUACAAAUUAGUUGAAUUUUGCAUGCGCCCAUGACACACCCAAAAUCCCUAAUUUUGUUUUAUACUUUCAAACCAACUAUGUUUAAAAUAUCAUUUUUAGUUCUUCUUUCAUUAUAGCUUUAAAAAUAGAGUUUAAAUUUAGUAACUUUUUAAAAUAUUUAUUCAAAAUAUAGAUGUCAUAUUUCAAUUUUAUGGAAAUAUCCAUAGAAAUAAAAAAUUUGUGAAAAUUGAAAUUUAGUUGGACAAAAGACCAUUUUUUAAUCAUCAUUUUCAAUAUAUGCAAGAACAUUAAUUUAAAAAUAAAUAGAAAAAUAAUUACAAGAUUAAUUAUAUAAAGUUGUAGGAAUAUUUUCAGGUAAAAAUGAUGUGGGAAUGGAAGUUUUGGAUGGUAAGAAAAAUAAAACUCACAUCAACUCAAAAUUUAAUGUGAAAAAUCAAUGAAAAAAAUCUAAUUAAGGUUUAAAAAGAGUUAUAUGUUUUUAAUUUCGAUAUGAAAUUUUUUAAAUUGAAAGUAAAGAGUAAAUAAGAACAUAGUUUUAUCAUUCUUUGAAAAUGUCAUUGUCGUUGAAACUAUACCAUCGCUUAUAAUUAGAACUAUAAUACUAUUAAAACAAAAAAAACGAAACAUUUUGUUGAAAUUUAUUUGGAAGGAGAGAAAAAUGGAAUUUGCCAACGAAAAAGUUAAGAUUAAAAUUAAACCAACUUCAAAAUUACAUUCAAUAGACCAAUAUUUUAACUUAGAAAAAAAGAAAAAAAAAUGUAGUUGGUGGAAGGGAGUGUUUGGAAAAUAUAAAUGCAUUGACCCAAUUUCCUUACAGUGCCUGCACUCAAAUAUACUACAUAUCUCUUGUGGACCAUUCCCACCACUUCCAAACUUCUCCACCUUAUAAUAUUUUUAAUUUCAACUUCCAAUCUCAUAGGAAAAUAAAACAUAUACACAUUUUGGCAAUCCUUCUCUCUGAUUAAUUUUCAUGAAAGUACCUCACCAGUUUACUUACCAAAUUUCCAAGUCUGUGAGUCCUCCAUUAAUGGUGCCACAUUUGCUAUAUUUAGCCAAGUUUUGUAGCUUUUAAUGACAAAGUUCAGAUCUUUAGUAUGUAGGUUUUAAUUAAAAUUAGCCUAUUCUUAUGACUUUGAUGAUGAAAGUUGAGAGUUGUAUUCCAUAUCUAGCUAGGCCGCUUUUAUAAGCUAGCUAGCUCGGUCUAAUUCUUUUGCAACUUUUAUGACAUAAAAGUUGAGAACUUGGAGACUUUGAUCAGUACUCAACAUAUAUUCUAUUAUUCCCUCUGCAAAAUCCAUGGUGGUGAAUGUGAGUGAUGAUGAAAAGGAAGAAGAAGAAGAUCAUGAAGAUGAUGAUGAUGAUGAUAGGUAUUUAAUUGCUUGGUAGUUGUGGGAAAUUAUGUUUAUUAAAAUUGGGCAUUUAAAGUUGCAGCUGGUUUUCAGACAUUAAUGGUGGAUUGGGAAAUGGCUGAGAAACCCAUGAGUUGUGAUCAAACUAUCUCUCUAUAUACCCACAAAAAAAUAACCUUUUAUUAUUAUUUUUCUUCUCAAUUAGUUUAUUGGUUAAAGGUAAUGGUUUUUAAUUUAAUAAAACACAUUACAUUCCCAUUUUUAGUAAGAAACCAAAUAUAACAAUUCAAUAUAUUUGUAAUUUCUUAAACUUUAAUUUACUAUAUUUGUAAUUUGAAAAACUGUGGCAAGUAUUUAUUAUAAUUUUUUAAAUUGCUAUCCAUUAUAGCUAAACAAUUUUUGUUUAUAUUAACGAUGUUGAGCUUGAACAUUGCCCAACAUGAAUUUUGAAGUUGAUUUCUUAAAGAAAUAUCCGUCAAAUAACUUUUCAAGUGUCAAAAAAAAUAUAUAAGUAGAAAACAAAAAGUAUUUUAAUAAUUUUUAAAAAUAUAUAUAUAUCGAUUUUUUUUUUUUUUGUUUAUUUCGUUAGGAGUUUAACGUAGCCAAAAGAUUUCAAUUUCAAAUUCUCAAAUAUUAAAAAAUAUAUAUUUCAAUUUCAAAUUCUCAAAUAUUAAAAAAUAUAUAUAUGACUCCAUCUCGAGUUGUAUCCAUUUUAUACCGUUAACCAAAUACAUUAUAUUAACCACAAAUUAAAUUGUUGCAAUAAACAUAAUUUAAAUGCAGAUACACAUCUAAGUAUUUGCACUUUGGAAAAUUUGGAAAAUCAAUUUAAUUAAUUUGAACAAAUUUGCAAGGUUAAGGAAAAGCUUCUUUCUUAUGGGUUAUCUUUUAGUUAUUAUUAUUAUUAUUUUUACCUUUGAGAUGAGGGAUAGCUUCACAAACACAUUUCUACAUGCAAUCACGAUCAUGAAUUAUAAAAAUUAUAAAGAUCAAUUAUUUCAACAAAUACAUAAAGCAAAAGAAACAAACAAAAAGGGGAGAAAUAAUUAAAAUUACUCAAGAAAAAAAAAAAAGAAACAGUUAAUGAAAAUUUGUCUAUUUAUUUAUUUAAUAUAUACAUUGGUUAAUAUCGUAUAAUCAGACCUCUAAUUAUAGAGUAGUAGCCUGCAAAAAUUUACAACACCCAGAAAAGAAAAAAUACAAAUACAAAUACCAAAAUUUUCUAGCCCUUCACCAUUUAUCAACUCCUCACUGCUAUAUAUAUCUAAAGCCUUCUCUAUAAUCCAAAACUACGAUAUAAAAUUAAAACUAAACACAAAAAGAAAGAAAAAAUAUAUGGUUGGGUAAAUAUAAAAAAAUAAUAAUAAAUAAAGAAAAACUUUGUGAAAAUAUAAUAAGGAUCACCGUUUGUUGUGUAAAGGGUUUGAUCCGGUGGGGACUCUUCGCUUUUGAUCUUGAAAGUCUGGAGAUUUGUGAAGCGGUGAGGGUGAAGAGGGUCGGAAAAUGGCUUGCUUAGUCAUCGGAAUCCUUGGAUGGAGGGCGGCGGUGGGGGUUGAGGGAGUUAGAAGAAGGAGAAAAAUGGCGAGAAGAAGACGGAGGUGGAAAUGAGUCAUAUUCCAAAAGAGUAAAUAAAAAUGUUUGGAUUUGUAGCCGUCCAGAUUGUGAAUAUAUAAGAUGGGUGCGUACGGGAACUGCGUAAGCGUUUGGGUUUGGGAUGAUCUUAG